rnacentral:lncRNA from 1 species
UACCCAAUUCUUUUGGGAUCUUCCCAAUUAGAUGAUUUGAGGAGAGAUCAAGUUGUUGCAGUUGAAUUGCUUUCCCAAGUUGAGGUGGUAUAGCACCAGAAAUUUUAUUGUUGGAGAUGUUCAGGUUUGUGAGCAUGUGGCACUCCCCCCAUUUCUCAGAAAGCUCACCAUAAAAAUUGUUAUUGCUCAGAUCAAUAUAAUUUAGAUUAGGGUAUACACCAAAACUUUCGGCUAUGUCUCCAGUAAGUUGGUUUUUUUCAAGCCUAACUCUGAAUAAGCUAGUGCAAUUUUUCAAGCUCUUUGGAAUAGGACCAGUGAAAUGGUUCAUUUGGGCUGAAACUUUUUCAAGAGCAUUACCAAGGCAUAUCUCUUGUGGUAGGUGGCCAAUGAAGUUAUUCUCAGCAAUUUGCAAAGAUUUCAAAUGAGUGAUAUUAUUCAUUUCUAGAGGAAUGGCACCACUGAGUCUGUUGUAAUGAAGGGCCAAAAAGUUUAAGCCGGACAAGUUUCCAAAGGAUGGAGGGAUCAGACCAGUGAGACUAUUAUUUGCCAACUCAAGAUCAUUAAGUGAUGUCAACAAUCCAAUCUCUUGAGGAAUAGAACCGGAUAGUUUGUUUGUAUGAAGGUACAAAGUGGUUAAGUUCCUCAAGUUACCUAUGGAAUGAGGGAUUGGACCGGUGAGAUUGUUAAUUGACAACGCAAGAUCAUUAAGUGAUGUCAACAAUCCAAUUUCUUGAGGGAUGGAACCAGAAAGCUUGUUCUCAGAAAGAUCUAAAGUGGUUAAAUUUCUCAAGUUUCCAAAGGAUGGAGGGAUCGGACCAGUGAGACUAUUAUUUGCCAACUUAAGAUCAUUAAGUGAUGUCAACAAUCCAAUCUCUUGAGGAAUAGAACCGGAUAGUUUGUUUGUAUGAAGGUACAAAGUGGUUAAGUUCCUUAAGUUACCUAUGGAAGGAGGGAUUGGACCGGUGAGAUUGUUAAUUGACAACGCAAGAUCAUUAAGUGAUGUCAACAAUCCAAUUUCUUGAGGGAUGGAACCAGAAAGCUUGUUCUCAGAAAGAUAUCAAGUGGUUAAAUUUCUCAAGUUUCCAAAGGAUGGAGGGAUCGGACCAGUGAGACUAUUAUUUGCCAACUCAAGAUCAUUAAGUGAUGUCAACAAUCCAAUCUCUUGAGGAAUAGAACCGAAUAGUUUGUUUGUAUGAAGGUACAAAGUGGUUAAGUUCCUCAAGUUACCUAUGGAAUGAGGGAUUGGACCGGUGAGAUUGUUAAUUGACAACACAAGAUCAUUAAGUGAUGUCAACAAUCCAAUUUCUUGAGGGAUGGAACCAGAAAGCUUGUUCUCAGAAAGAUCUAAAGUGGUUAAAUUUCUCAAGUUUCCAAUGGAUGAAGGGAUCGGACCAGUAAGACUAUUAGUUGCCAACUCAAGAUCAUUAAGUGAUGUCAACAAUCCAAUCUCUUGAGGGAUAGAACCAGAAAGCUCAUUCUCAAAAAGAUGUAGAGUGGUUAAGUUUCUCAAGUUUCCUAUGGAUGGAGGGAUUGGACCAGUGAGACUAUUAAUUGCCAAUUGAAGAUCAUUAAGCGAUGUCAACAAUCCAAUUUCUUGAGGAAUAUAACCAGAUAGUUUGUUUUUAUGAAGGUACAAAGUGGUUAAGUUCCUCGAGUUACCUAUGGAAGGAGGAAUUGGGCCUCUGAAAUUAUUAAAACACAAUGCUAGAACACUAAGAGAUGUUAGAAAUCCAAGUUGGGGAGAUAUUACACCAGUAAAACGAUUGAAAGUAAAGUUAAGAUUUGUGAUUAGUUUAGAAAGAUUACCAAUGUUGAUUGGAAUGGUUCCAUAAAGGGAGUUGUUAUAAAGAUUAAGAGUGAGAAGGUUAGGGAGUGAUGAGAAAUUGAGAUUGUGGAGUGUACCUCUCAAACCGCAAUUGUCAAGGUCUAAAUUGGAGACACUUCCUGACCUGUGACAAGUCACUCCAAACCAAUGAUGGCAAGAAUUGCGUCCAGACCAAGAAGAAAGGAAAGAUUGGGUUUGAUUAUCAAGACUGGUCUUCCAUGUUAGAAGAGCAACUGCCUCUUGAUCUUGUUCAACUUUCAAAAGAGAAGUGGUAGGUGUAGAGGCAGAUGUAAAAGUGACAUGGAAUAAUGAUAUCGAGUACAGAAGGAAAAGGAGAAAUAUGAAUAAGCAAGGAGUGAUGAUGAGUCGGGGGAGUAAGGAGUAGGAUGAAAAAUAUUCAAGCACCAUUGUUGAAUUGGUAGAAAUGAAGUUAUUAAGAGGUUUACCUGGAGGGAAGGAUGAAGACGAAACACUUAUUUAUAGACUUAAAUGUGAUACAUCCAAGAUUUCCAUUAGUUGGUGUUGACAUCUAACCAUUUGCUUUGUCUACGAUUAAUGGAAUUGAAAAGUAUUAUAUACAUGCAUGAGCUCAAUUCCACACUUAUUUUAUUUUAUCAAAAUGCUCUUAAUUUUUUUAUUAAAAUUUACACCUGUAAUUACAUAUGAAAUAAUUAAAAAUAUUCCUUUUUCACUCUAUGCACUUUUAAAUAUAACUUGUUUAAAAUUAAUCAUUACAAUUCAUUUUAAGAAGUAAGGACCAAAUAUACCCACGUCAACAACCUAGUUGAUAUAGGAAGUCCACUUUAACCAACAUUACUCAUUGUUUAGAUUGAAUUCUUUUAACUAUUUUGCCCUGUGAGAAAUAAACUCUUUUAACUUUAUUAGUUCUUUCAUAAUUUUUAUCCUUACAAUAUGAACUAUCUGAUUUCUCUUAAUAUUUUAUAAAUCAUUUAUGUUAUAUUUCAAAACAAAAUUAGUUGUCAUUUCUUCUACUUCUUUCCCAGACAAAUGCAUAAUUUGUGGUUGAUGUUUAUUAGUUUUAUUAAAGGUGUUUACAAUUUGUAAGUGAGACCCAUCAUCUAUGAAAAAUAUAGACAUGCUUUUUUUCAGUUGAAAGUCUUAAGGAACUAGUAUUUGGACCACAACAAGAACUAAGGGCUACCAAAUUUUCACUUUGUUUUACAUCCAAAUAAAACACACAAUCCUUUAUGUAUUGUCUAUUCUAAGCCAAGGGGCUCUCAAGGCUUUAAAAUGCAUCUCUAAGAUUAAGAGGAGCCUAACAUAUAUAUCAUCAUGAGCUUUUUUUCUCUAUCCGACGUGAGAUGUCAUAAAAAUUGUUCAACAAGACUAAUGCAUUUGUGAAGCUCAAAAGAAUCACAAAAAUCAAAGGAAGAUUUUUUGGGCAUUACAACAUAAAAGAUGCAGGACCCUUGUACACAUGCAUUUUCCUUAUCAAACAAUUGUCUUGACAAGCCAUUCUAAAGCCCACUUGGCUUGCCAUCACUAGUGAUGGACCUACAUCAUUCAAAUUCUCGAUGCUCUUGAAAAGGCCAUAUGCACUUGAAGUAAAAAGAGCUUUGAAUUUUUGUUAGAUACUUCGUUUUUUCUAUUUGGAAACAUAUUUUUCUUUUCUUUUUUUGUUCUUUUUUUUUAAUAGAACGUUUACCCUCCUAGAGUGUAAAAUCCUCUAUUUUCUGUUCAAAUUUCAGCUUUGCAAUUAGAGUCCUAAAUUCUAAACCUUGUCUGGGUUUUCCAGUUUUGUGAAAAAUCACAUCAUAGGGACCCAACAAGAUGGGAUUUGAUUCAAUGUUAGAGACAAAUUUUGGAAAAAUCUACAAAACCCUCAACAGUUGUGGCCAUACCAUAGCUCAAGACCAAGAUGGGAAUUUACAAUCUAAUAAAGCUGAUGAAUGCUUCAUAGACGUGAAGGUCCUCACAUUCUUGAUCGGGAAGAACCUAGGCCGAAAGUAAUCAGCAAAGGAUAAGAACGCCAGGAUCAUUUCACACUGAAACACUUUACUCCAACUACUCUGGUUAAACGGAUUCAUCCUAGAGAAAACUAUGAAGAUAGCAGCCUUGUUAUAGACUUAAAUGUGAUACAUCCAACAUUCCCAUUAGUUGGUGUUGACAUCCAACUACCUCCUUGUCUACAACUAAUGGAAUUGAAAAGGAUUAUAUGGCUCAAUCCCAUGCUUAUUUUAUUUUAUUUUAUCAAAGUGCUCUUAAUUUUUAUUAAAAACACUUGGAGUGCUUCUUCUUGGAUAAACACUUGAUGAGUAUUUCUUUUAAAGGAUAAGAGAAAUAUGAAAAAUACUAAUAUUUCAUAAAAAUAUUCAUUUUACAAAAAUACAUUCUUCUAGUAUUUUUAUUAAAAAUAAUUUUAGAAAUACUCUUACCAAAUGGUGGAAAAUUCUUAACAUGAGUGCAAAUUAAUUUUUAUUUUGAAAAAGUUUUACUAAAUGGAAAAAAAUUCUUCCUCGAAUUUUAUGUGGAUAUGAAUUACUUGGAUAAAAUUGGAGCUUUGUCCAUAUCAUGUUAGUGACUUAUUUUGUUGAGAUAUAUAGUUAUAAGACAAAUCUCACCCAAAUAUCUUUUUUUCGUAGAAGACAAAGCUCAUUGCCUUGAAUGAUAGGAUCUAGAGAUGCACAAAAGUGUGCUUUUUUAUUUAAAAAAAUGUGUUCUAUGACUAGCAUGUAUUUCAAAUUUAAGUUCAACCAAAAAGACCGCUCAAUCUCCUAAGAGCUCUUUAGAGAUGAAAACCAAUUUUAAUUAUAUCAAAUAAAAAUAUAUAAUUAUUAUUUCUUAAGAUGGUAUUGUUAAAUUGCCAAUUUUUAAAAAUUUUAUUAUGGUAAAAAAUGUUAACAUUUUGGGAAAAAAAUUAUUACUAUUUUUUUUUCAAACUAGCAGUCUUGAAAUAUUUUGUCUUAAUUAUAUAAAAAAUGAUAAUUAUUUUUGUAUAGACAAUGAUAUUUAAUUAGUAAUUUUUAGAUAUUCUUAGCAUGUAAAAAGAAGUAGACUUGACAUUUAAUAAUAUUUUGAUACCACUUUAAUCAAAUAUAUUAUUCAAAGUUAUACAUCUAGCUCUAUUAAAUUUAAGUUAAAUGAAGGUAUAGUCGAAAUUCAUAUUGACAAACAAAUGUUACCUAAGUGUAAUUCCUAUGACAUUGUAGUGAAGCAUAAUUUUUUUUUUCUUUUUAAGUAGAAUUAUAUGAAAACUUAAUUUAUUUUAAGCAUGCAUUAAAAUAAUGAUUUGUCUUUUAUUAAUUAAAAAACUAAAAAAAAAAUUGUACUAUUUAUUAUUAUUAAAAAAGAUUUCUUACUUUCAAUUAAAAUUACAUAUUUACAUAAGAAUAUAAAGUUCCCUUUCCAAUUGCAUGUUUUUAGUCUAGACAUUUAUUGUCUUUGAUAGGGUGGAAAAGUCAUUGCAUUCUUGAUUUUUAUUAACAAUUGUGUGGAAAAGUUGUUGUUUUCCUAAUUCUUGUCAAUAAUUGUGUUCAAAAGUCAUUGCAUUCCUAAUUCUUAUCAACAAUAGUUUUUAAGGAAUCUAUACCUAAUAUUCACAUUAUCAAUAGUAUAUGAAAAUGAUCCUAAUUGAUGUGAGUGGUCUAAUUAGAGUGAAGUAUAUAAGAAUAUCAUUUAUUAAAUCUUAGUAUUAAAAUAAAAAGUAGCAAUUGAAUCCAUUAUAUCAAGACUUGAGGAAUGUGAGGAAUCUAAAUUAAUUUUCUUUCCCUAUAAGGUAGAAUUUGCAUUGAAACUCCAUCUACUUUAAUUUAAGGGAUAGCACAAACAAAGUCGUAGGUGUGACAUGCUUUUAUGUAAAAACAAUUUAAGAGUGGUUUGUGCUUUUUAUAAUAGGUAUCAUGAAAAAGAACAUGCUCAAAAUGUAAAUUUUUUAUUUUUUUAAAUAAUAUUACAUUAUUUUAAUUCAAUUUUCAAGUUAAUUAAAAGCAAAACUUAGAUCAUGGAUUGGACAUAAUGACAAUAAAUUUCUCCUAUUAAUAGAUUUAACAAUAAAAAAGAUGAGUCUUUUUUUUUUCAAGUUAAUUACUAAUUUCUAAAAUUUUUAUUAUGGUAACAAAUGUUAAUAUUUUGAAAUAUUUGAAAAUAUGUUAAUUAUCAUUUUUUGCCAAAUUAUUAAUCUUCAAAUAUUUUUAUUUUAAUUAUAUAAAAUAAAAACAAAUAUAAUAAUUAUUUUAUUACAAACAAAGAAAUUUAAUUAUUAAUUUUUAGUCUUAGCUUAUAAAAGGAAGUAGAUUUAACACUUACAAGAACACCACUUUUAAACAAAUAUGUUAUUCCAAGUUAUACAUAUAGUUCUAUUACAUUUAAGUUGAUGCCAGUGGUAUGAUCAUAGUGAUGUAUAUAUUAGUAUUAAAACAAAAAGUCACAAUUGAGUCUUUUGUAUUUAGACUAAGGAAUAAUUAUAACAAUGGUGAAACCUAGAUUAAUUUUUUCCAUCUUUAUAAGGUAAAAUUUGUAUUGAAACUUCAUCUAUUUCAAGGCAUAGCACAAAUGAAGUUGCAAGGAUGACAUGCCUUCAUGUAGAAAUAAAAUAGAAUUUCAUUGUCUAAAUAGGAUAUUUUAUUAUUAUUGUAAACAAAUUUUUUUACUUCUUCCUUUGUUAGCAUCAAGAACUCAGAAAAUAUUUGCUUCACAAUGUUGAGCAUUGAUGCAUCUAUUUAAUAGUGAUUUGUGCCUUUUAGAUUACAUAUUUUGAAAAAAGAUAUGUUCGAAAUGUAAAUUUUACUAUUAUUUUUUUUUUCAAAUGAUACUCUAUUAUUUCAAUUUAAUUAAAAGGGAGACUUAGGCCAUGGGUCAAACACAAUGACAAUAAAUUUGUCCAGAUGGAUUUAACAAUCGCAAAUAUGGUUUUCUUUUUUUUGAAUACAUAUAAAAGAGAAUUUAUGAUCUAGUUUUUUUAUAGACUUAAAAGAACAAAAAAAAUCAAUUAUUGAAUAUACCUACCAAUUCAAUUACCUUAGAAAAAUUAAAACUUGUGCAUAUUUGUUGCUCAGUUUACAAUUCUUAACAAAUUAAUAGAAAAGAAUUAAACAUUCAAGGCAAAAAAAAAUAGGUCCAUUCAAUUUUCCUUUGAAAUGAUAGUGGGUUGUUUUAAUGGGAUUUGAAGUUUGGGUCAAACUUGAUAUAAUAUUGUUUUACCCUUGAAAUUGAUAACGAUAAUGGGUCAUGUAUAAUGGGAUUUGAAAUCCAAAUCUUAGUGGGAUAUGAACUCUAAGUCAAAUAAUGAUAAUUGGUUUGUUUAGUGGGAUUUAAAAUUUGAGUCUUAAUGGUCUUCGAAGUCAUCAAAUAAUGAUAAUUGGCAUGUUUAGUGGAACUUGAACUUUGAGUUUGAAUGGGGUUUGAAGUUUGAGUCAAACUUGAUAUAAUAUUUUACCCAUAAUUGGCCAUCUUUAAUAGCAUUAGAAGUCAUAGUCAAACUUGAUGUAAUGUUUUACCCUUGGAAAUAAUAAUGAUGAUUGGUGGGAUAUGAAGUCCAAAUCUUAGUGGGAUAUGAACUCUAAGUCAAAUAAUGAUAAUUGGUUUGUUUAGUAGGAUUUGAAAUUUAAAUCUUAAUAGGAUUCAAAGUCGUCAAAUAAUGAUAAUUGGCCUGUUUAGUGGGACUUGAACUUUGAGUCUGAAUGGGGUUUGAAUUUUGAGUCAAACUUGAUAUGAUAUUUUACCCACAAUUGGCCAUCUUUAAUAGGAUUGGAAGUUAUAGUCAAACUUGAUAUAAUAUUUUAUCCUUUGAAAUAAUAAUGAUAAUUGGUGGGAUAUGAAGUCCAUCUCUUAGUGAGAUAUGAACUCUAAGUCAAAUAAUGAUAAUUGGUUUGUUUAGUGGGAUUAGAAAUUUAAGUCUUAGUAAGAUUCAAAGUCGUCAAAUAAUGAUAAUUGGCAUGUUUAGUGGGACUUGAACUUUGAGCUUGAAUGGGAUUUGAAGUUUCAGUCAAACUUGAUAUAAUAUUUUACCCACAAUUGGCCAUCUUUAAUAGGAUUGGAAGUCAUAGUCAAACUUGAUAUAAUAUUUUACCCUUUGAAAUAAUAAUGAUAAUUGGUGGAAUAUAAAGUCCAAAUCUUAGUGGGAUAUGAAAUCUAAGUCAAAUAAUGAUAAUUGGUUUGUUUAGUGGAAUUUGAAAUUUAAGUCUUAAUAGGAUUCAAAGUCGUCAAAUAAUGAUAAUUGACAUGUUUAGUGGGACUUGAACUUUGAGUCUGAAUGGGAUUUGACAUUUGAGUCAAACUUGAUAAUUUUACCCUUAAAAAUAAUAACAAUAAUUGAUCAUAUUUUAUGGGAUUUGAGAUCUUAGUCAAACUUAAUAUAAUAUUUUAACCAACAAUGAAAAAUAAAUAAGCAUAUGAUACGAGCUAAGAACUCAUUUCAAAAGUAGGGUCAAAAAUGGUUUUAAAUGCUUAAAAAGUGUGUUUUGCUAUAUAAAAAAAAAUCGUUUUAACGUUAGAAAAUAUAGAUACUUCUUCUAAAAGCCAUUACAAGAAAGACAUGAAAAAUAUUAAAAUUUCAAAUAAAUUUUCAUGUUUGAAAAACAUAUUUUUCUUGCAUUUUUAUUAAAAAUAUGUUCAAACAUACUCUUACAUGAUCUACUUGAGUUCCUAAAAUAAUUACAAACUCUAUUUAAUUUUUAUUUUAAAAUUUUUUUACCUAAGGGUGGAAAAUUCCUCCUCAAAUUAUACAUGGAUAUGAAUUAUUUGGAUGAAAAUUGGAGCUAAUAUCAUAAGAAUGACCUAUUUUAGUGGAAUAUAUAGUUAUUAUAAGAUAAAUCUCACUCAACUAUCUGUUUACUUAUAAGACAAAGUUCACUGCCUUGUAUAAUGGGGUGCAAAAAUACAUAUGAGUGGACACUUUUGACUUAAAGUAUAAUGAGAUGUAAAAAUACAUAUGAGUGAACACUUUUUACUUAAGAUCGUGUUUCACAAUAACAUGUCUUAAAUUUAAGUUCAAAGAAAAGUACCACUUAAACCUCCAAAGAACCCUUGAACAUAACAAUUGAAAAUAAAGAUAAACUCCCUCAUAUGAUAAUAAAAAAUAUUUUUCAAUUGUUAUAAAUUGUGAUCAUGUUACUUAUUAAGUUAAAUAAGAAGUAAAAAGGAUUUUAUAAAAAUGGUAUUUUAAAUGUGAAGUAAAUUUUAAAUGUGCUAAAAAUUUUAGGUCCUCUUUGGACGUGUUUUCUAAUGCUGGUUGAAAAGUUGUUUUUAUGUUAAAGAACAAAAGAUAGUUAUUUAGUAUUUUAUAAAAAUAAGGAUGUUUGAUAAGUUGUUUUUUCAAAAAAUAAAAAUAAGAACUUUUUUGGAUAAGUUGUUUAUAAAAAUAAUUUUCCUAUUUUGAUUUUGUAAAAACAUUAUAAAUUUAAUUUAUGUAAUAUUAAUUAAAUUUAAUUAAAGUCUUAUUGAAAAUAAAAAAAUAGUUUUUAAUUACAAAUAAAUUAAAAAAAUAAAUAGUUUUUAGUAAAAUAUGAACAAUAAUAUUAUAAUAAAAUCAUAAAUAAAAAAAAUUAUAAAAAAAUAUUAUUUUAGUAUAUUUUUUAUGCUAAAGCUCCUAAUGGGCUUCGAAGUCAUCAAAUAAUGAUAAUUGACAUGUUUAGUGGGACUUGAACUUUGAGUUUGAAUAGGGUUUAAAGUUUGAGUCAAACUUGAUGUAAUAUUUUAUCCACAAUUGGCCAUCUUUAAUAGGAUUGGAAGUUAUAGUCAAACUUGAUAUAAUAUUUUACCCUUGGAAAUAAUAAUGAUAAUUGGUGGGAUAUGAAGUCCAAAUCUUAGUGAGAUGUGAACUCUAACUCAAAUAAUGAUAAUUGGUUUGUUUAGUGGGAUUAGAAAUUUAAGUCUUAAUAGGAUUCAAAGUCGUCAAAUAAUGAUAAUUGACAUGUUUAGUGGGACUUGAACUUUGAGUCUGAAUGGGAUUUGAAGUUUGCGUCAAACUUGAUAUCAUAUUUUACCCACAAUUGACCAUCUUUAAUAGGAUUGGAAGUCAUAGUCAAACUUGAUAUAAUAUUUUACCCUUUGAAAUAAUAAUGAUAAUUGGUGGAAUAUGAAGUCCAAAUCUCAGUGGGAUAUGAAAUGUAAGUCAAAUAAUGAUAAUUGGUUUGUUUAGUGGGAUUUGAAAUUUAAGUCUUAACAGGAUUCAAAGUCGUCAACUAAUGAUAAUUGGCAUGUUUAGUGGGACUUGAACUUUGAGUCUGAAUGGGAUUUAACGUUUGAGUCAAACUUGAUAAUUUUACCCUUGAAAAUAAUAACGAUAAUUGGUCAUAUUUAAUGGGAUUUGAGAUCUUAGUCAAACUUAAUAUAAUAUUUUAACCAAUAAUGAAAAAUAAAUAAAUAUAUGAUAUCAACUAAGAACUCAUUUCGAAAGUAGGGUCAAAAAUUGUUUAAAAUGCUUAAAAAGUGUGUUUUGCUAUAAAAAAUAAAUCAUUUGAAAAAAAAAAUCGUUUUAAAGUUAGAAAACAUGAAUAAACACUUAGAUAUUUCUUCUAAAAGCCAUUACAAGAAAGACAUGAAAAAUAUUAAAAUUUCAAAUAAAUUUUCAUGUUUGAAAAACAUAUUUUUCUUGCAUUUUUAUUAAAAACAUGUUCAAACAUAUUCUUAUAUGAUCUACUUGAGUUCCUAAAAUAAUUACAAACUCUAUUUAAUUUUUAUUUUAAAAUUUUUUUACCUAAGGGUGGAAAAUUCCUCCUCAAAUUAUACAUUGAUAUGAAUUAUUUGGAUGAAAAUUGGAGCUAACAUCCAUAUCAUAAGAAUAACCUAUUUUAGUGGAAUAUAUAGUUAUUAUAAGAUAAAUCUCACCCAACUAUCUCUUUACUUAUAAGACAAAGUUCAUUGCCUUGUAUAAUGGGAUGCAAAAAUACAUGAGUGGACACUUUUGACUUAAAGUAUAAUGGGAUGUAAAAAUACAUAUGAGUGGACACUUUUUACUUAAGAACGUGUUUCACAAUGACAUGUGUCUUAAAUUUAAGUUCAAAGAAAAGUACCACUUAAACCUCCAAAGAACCCUUGAACAUAAUAAUUGAAAAUAAAGAUGAACUCCCUCAUAUGAUAAUAAAAAAUAUUUUUCAAUUGUUAUAAAUUGUGAUCAUGUUACUUAUUAAGUUAAAUAAGAAGUAAAAAGGAUUUUAUAAAAAUGGUAUUUUAAAUGUGAAGUAAAUUUUAAAUGUGCUAAAAGUUUUAGGUCCUCUUUGGAUGUGUUUUCUAAUGCUGGUUGAAAAGUUGUUUUUAUGUUAAAGAAUAAAAGAUAGUUAUUUAGUAUUUUAUAAAAAUAAGGAUGUUUGACAAGUUUUUUUUAAAAAAAGUAAAAAAUAAAAAACUUUUUUGGAUAGGUUGUUUAUAAAAAUAAUUUUUCUAUUUUGAUUUUGUAAAAACAUUAUAAAAUUAAUUUAUGUAAUAUUAAUUAAAUUUAAUUAAAGUUUUAUUGAAAAUAAAAAUAGUUUUUAAUUACAAAUAAAUUAAAAAAUAAAUAGUUUUUAGUAAAAUAUGAACAAUAAUAUUAUAAUAAAAUCAUUAAAAAAUAUUAUUUUAGUAUAUUUUUCAUGCUAAAGCUCCUAUGAAAUUUUAGGUAGAUACAUGUCUUCUAGUGGAUAAUUAUAGUCUUUUUCAACUCGGAGAUCCUUCACGACAUGAGCCACCAACCAUUCCUCAUACAAAAUCUUGCCAAAUUAACCUUGAGAAUAUUCCUCAACAUCCUAUUCCUCUUCAUCUCAACCAUCCUCUCCCUUUGUCUCCUCCACCUCUCUUGAACACCACUCCCCUCCGCCCCAAUCUCCCACCCUCUCAUCUCAUGGUCCAGGUGCUAAAGUCAUUGAAUACAUCUUGUAUUGUAUUCAAUCCCAUGUUUUUCUGGCCUCAUAAAUUCUAAACCCUAUCUAGGUUUUCCAAUUUUGUGAAAAAUUAUAUGGAUUAAAUUCAAUGUUAGAGACAAAAUUUUGAACAAAUCUGCAAAAACGCUCAACAGUUGUGGUCAUAGCUCAUGACCAAGAUGGGAGUCUACAAUGUAAUAAUGCUGAUGAAUGAUUCAAAGACUGCUCCAACUAGAUUUUGAAAAUUGUCUAUUUUCCAACAUUUUUGUAUUGAGCUAUUCUCGUAUAAACGGAUUGAAAACAGUUUUUUGAAAAUUUGUUUAAAAAUAAGAGGACUUUUCAUAAAAAAAUUCAGGGUGUUUUAUUAGAGCAAUAGGAGACAUGGAGAAUAUGCCGAUAACUUUUGCAGUGUACAUCAAUGCAUAAUACUUUCAUAGAGAAGAGACUUUUAUUUAAAAAAAAAAAAAAAAAAUUGACUCCUAAUAGAAUUUUAUUACUCCAAACAUUCAGGAGCUAUUCUUAAAAAUCGAUUUGUAAAAAUUAUCGAGCAGACCCACAAUCUGUUCGAGUAACAAAUGGAAAACUUACCAUUUGAUCUUAUUCCAACUACAAUUUAAAAAAAGAAAACAAACAAACAUAUAAAUCCUUAGACAGGACCGAGCAACAAGCAUUGUGGUUUUGUUGUCUGUGGGUGGUCAAAUUUAUCAGUAACCCAAGACUUCCAUGCUCACAAAAGCUCCAUUUUAAUCAAAGGUUGGUGAGAAAAUUACUAACAGGCUCAAGUCUCAUCUUAAAUAGAAGGAAAACAAAAACAUUAUUUACAUGCUUCACCAAUGAAACAUUCAAGUUAUGCAUUGAUAACCAUAAUUUCUGGGGAUAUAACGCUGUUCAACAAGAUUAAUGCAUUUGUGAAGCUCAGACGAAUCGCAAAGAUCAUAGAUGAAAAUCUCUCUAGCAUUACCAAAUAAAAGGUACAACGAAGAAAAAGUUGAUGUAUGUGAUCUUGCUUGGGACUGAGGUGGAUCAAUGUUCAAUAUUUUCCUAAAAUAAGCAGACUAAUUAGUGUAAGAAAUAUUGAUUCAUAUAGAACUUUAACCACAAAAUUCAGAAUUAACUAGGAAGAAGAUGAAAAUACAGAGAAAACUUGAGGGAAGGAGCUAAGACACAGAUGGAGGGAUUGGCUUCACAGCAUUUUGGAUCCGCUGGAAUGCCACUCUCACUCUUUCCUUGAGGCCUUCAUUUUCGCUCUCAACAUUCCCACUCUGUUUAUCAAGAUGCACCACAUUUCCAUCAACGCUUAUCACCAGGUUCCCAUUCCCUUCCAACUUCACAUCUCCAAACAGAGAAACAAGGAGUGCGUGGAUAACCUUUUCUGCUUUCUUCCCAUUUUCUUCUUCAGUUUUCAUGGCCUCUGAUUCAACUACUACCUUGGGGAUCUCAAGACUGAUAUUUAAAACUAGAGCCACAAUGGAGUCAGAGACCAUGUCACUAAUUGGAUCUGAUGUCCAACGCAAUGAAAUAUGCUUCUCCGACUCAUGCUUCACUGUCACCCGUUCAUGGACUUGAAAAGCUGGAACCUCAGAUUCUUCAUCUGGCAAUGACUCAACACUCUCAUAUAUCUGCUUCAGCCUGUGCUUUAUUACACCAAAGGCACCAGUGUAAGGAAUAGUAAUCCUCUGGGUGACAUUUGCCGUGGAUAGCUGUGAGAAGACAUGGAGAUCAUCAGGUGCCAUUAUCUGAUAAGUGAACCCUUUCUUUACCAGUAAACCACUGACAAUUUCACCAACUUCUGGGGUCUUUUCAGCCAGCCUCUCAAUGGUUUUUGCCAUUUUUUCAGAGUUGAAAUACAUUUCAACUGACUGACAGUUCUUUGGGGAAAUAAUUUUGGUGUUGCAGUCAGCAAACUGGGUGAUAAGCUUCUGUUUGAGCCUCCCCAUCUCAUUAGCUUCUCCAUGAACAAGAAUGAUGUUAGGUGGCAUGAGCUCCUUCAAGAAUGUACUUGUCUGUGCAAAAUCUGCAUGGGCAGAGAAAGAAAUGUAAUGGACCUGCAUGUUGAGGGGAGCAGUAAGACCAUUCAUUAAAGUAACUUCCUUGGGUUCAUUAAUGAUGGUUUUUGCCAAUGUCCCUCCCACGACAUACCCAGGUAUAACACAUGCAUUUUUCUUAUCAGAGCACCACAUAUCAAACAGUUGUCUUGACAACCCACUCUGAAGCCCACCCGGGCUCGCCAUCACCACUGAUGGACCUACAUCAUUAAAAUUCUCAAUGCUCUUUAAGGGUGAUAUGUGCUUGAAGUCAAAGGGAUUCGAAUUUGCAAAUUGGUUGCGGAUCCUCUCAUUCAUGGAAUUGAUAUAUGUCUGGUAAACAGCCAUGCACCUUUUUGCAAGGGGGGAAGCAUAAAAUAUGGGAUGUUAUGGAGCUCAGGAUGGUUAGACCAAUACUCAUCAAGGAUAAGAAGGAGUUCUUGGGCACGACCUAGAGCAUAUGCAGGGAUUAGAACACGGCCCCCUUGAGAAAUGGUUGAGUGGAUGACAUCUGUGAAGCGUUUUUCUCGCACAUGCCGAGGCUGAUGGAGUUGGACACCAUAAGUGGAUUCAAUUAUGCAAAUAUCAGGGCAGAACUGUGGAAUCUCAGCAGCACGGAGAUGACGAUCUUCUUCGCUAGAAUAGUCUCCAGUGUAAAGUACUCGGACACCAGCAAUAUCAACCAUAAACAUGGCAGCACCAAGGACGUGGCCAGCUGUGUAACACCAAAAUCGUAUACCAUUUACUUCUAAAGUCUGAUGGAAAUCAAUAACCUGCAGAAGGGAGAUUUAAUUACAGUUACAGGAAGAUUAAAUGAGAUAAGAAAAUUAAGCUACAUAUCUAAAGUCAAUUGUUGUAAAUGGCCCAACAUUCUGCAAUAGAUCAGGAUUAUAUGCAACCAAUAUUUUGGCAUAUGAGAUACACACACACACACACACACCAUAUUGCUUUUUUUAGUGAACAAGUUUUAUAUUUUAUUAGAUUAGUUAUGUAACAAUUUUGAAACUAAAUUCAGAAACAAUAGAAAAAAUGUUGUUGUGGAACACAAAACAUGAAUUAAUAUUAGAAGUAUAGCCAUUUAAAUCUUAAUAGACUAAUUCCUACUAUGUUAGUUUUAUUUGUCCAGAACUGAAGACAAAACUCAUCUGCUCUCAUGGAAGGUGAAGUACAGAAAGCCCACAGAUGUUAUAGAGAUCUAAAACAGUAGUACUUACACUCAGGUAGAAUCUAUGAUUCAGGUAUGAAUGUCUAUGGUAGAAAGAUUAAGGCUUUAGGACAAGGUAGUAGACAUUUGUGGCACUAUUAAUUUCAAAUAAGAGUCCCAAGAUAGAACAUUAGAGCUAUUCGCAAAUUUAAAUAACCAGAUUUAAGCUAAUCUGUGAUACAUGGACCAUUGUGACCAUAACUUUUGUGUUUUUUUUUUUUUUUUUGAUAGUUAUUGUAACCAUAACCUUUUUUUUUUCCUGAUAGACAUUGUGACCAUAACUUUUCAGGCCUUUAAAAAAGGAAGUGCAAGAGAAGGAUUUCUCAUCCUUCCCUACUUUACAAAACCUGAUUUAAAAAUGGAAGUGCAACUGUGCAAGAGAAGGAUGAGAAAUCCUUCCUUACUUUACAAAACCUGAUCAAAACAGAGGAAAAGAAAUACUCUCCAAUAAACAUCAAAACAACUCGACAUUGCAAUUUUAACACUUCGGAUCUACAAGUCGACAUCCAAUCAAGUUGAGUUAUGUUGAGAAAUUCAUGCCUUAAAACAGAUAGUUACAUUAAAGGCACAACCAUAAUCAUAAAUCCAUUUACUGAGAAGAAAACAAUGCUGAGAAAAGCAAUGGGAACUUCAACAUAAUCAAAGAAAGUGAAUGAUUGGGGUUUUUCUGAAGGAAUUUUAGCUGAUAGAUUCAAUUAUUUGUAACCUCUCGCACUCUUACAUAUGAAAGUACAUGUUCAAGUUUGUGUAUGGACACUUUAUGCAGAGAAUGGGUAGGUCCAUUAACCCUUUCAUCCCUCCAGAACCCCAGAAAAGGAACCUGUAAUGGCCAACGGCCUUUGUAUAGAGUGAUCCCUCUAAUACAGCUACAGAGAAUACUCUCAAAACCAUGCUUAUAGUAGUAGAUCACUAACUAUUGAUGUGCUUUCAACCAUUUCAAGAGCACUCAUCAGCCAUGCAGUCAGAAUUUCAACUGGAGUAAAGUUGGGCUCAAGAAAGUCUACUCAAAGCCGAAAAAAUCUCAAGGCCAGACAAGAGCCCAGGGACAGAUUUCAAUUUUAGGAAGCUAUUUCAUACGAGGAAAGGAAUCUCCAAGAGUUUAUUCCUUGAGAAAAAAGAAAUAUUAGCAAACGGAAUGAAGAAGCCAUUGAGAAGCAGGAGAUAUUCAGAUAAUGACUUAAAAUUUGGGUGGUAGAUGUAGUCUCAUUACUUUAAAAAUAUAUCUGCAGUGCUCCUAAUAGCACCAGAUAUUGAUAAGAGAAGGUGCGGAUGGAGUACUUGCAGCUGGUCCCAGUCAAAUCUUUAUAUGCUUUAACAAUAGUUGUUUGGUCACUUUUUCUAAGUAAGGCCAUUCAGGACAGAAUUCAUUCAAUGAUUUUUUUUUUUUUUUUUUUGGAAGAAAUAUGUCCAUACCCAGGUAUAUAGUACAAUAUAAAAGAACAAUCAUGAUAUUCUCUAAAUUUCAUUUCUCAAUUCAGCAGAUCAUUAAGUUAUAAAAACAAAUAACAUUACAAUAUUCAACAAGGAAAAAGAAUAUACUGUGUCACCAAAAGGACAUCAAUGGUUGAAGGAUCAAUCUCAUCAAAGUAUGGCAAAGCAGCCAUGACUGAGUAUGCGGGAUGAAUUCCACAGUCAAACUAUCAUCACAGAACAGGAACAUAAUAGAAACAAACAAAUUAAAAAAAAUAUCGAAAACAAAGUAUAAAAACUAGCAACCAAAAUAAACGAAUAAUGCAUUAUGGUAUACCAAUAUGGUUUUCCCUUUAUAGGACAUGUAGACACAGGAACGGCCCACUUCAUUUCCAGCACCUAGAGGGGUAAUAAUCAGCUGGUCUCCUCUUGUUAAUGAGGAAUCUGGUCUCUUCAAAGACUGCGAUGGCCCUGUAGAUGCCAUUCUUCAACUGAACAAUUCUCAGACCCCUUCAAUUAACACCACUCUAUUUUCAUGCAAAAUGCUCUGCAACCGAUUAAAAAAUACAAAAAAAAGAUUCAAAAAAAAAUAAAAAAACGCUUCAUCAUAAAUAAAAUGAUACCCAAAAAUAAAUACAAUUCCAACAAAAGACAUUUUUUCUCUGGGAACUCCAGUUAUUUUGGUGAAUAUAUUUCUGUUAAGCUUGGGAAAAAUAAAUUUUGACUUUCAGUAAAAUAACUCUGUACAGUUGAAAUUUAUAUUUCCCUGAGAACAUCUUCAAUAGAAAUAACCUAUCUCCCCAAUUGAAGCUCAAAAUUCAAAAUCCAGUACGAGAAAGCACUGUUUGUUUGCUGAGAAAUUGCAGAACCAAAAAUUUAAAUCUUACAGCUCUCAGCACUCAUCCCCCUAGAAAGCAACAUAAAAGCGCAAGAUUCAAUUGCUUCAUUUCCCUCUCUUCUCCUCACUUUUCUCAGCAACCAAACACAACAACCUUAUAUAAAUAAGGAGAGAGAGUGAAGUAGAAGAAAGAAGAAACUCGAAACUUAUAAAAAAAAAGCAUAGUAUGAAGGCAAUUAUAAGAGAUUCAAAAUUUUCAACUCACUUGGUUGCAUUCCCCAGGACUUUCUCGGGAACCAAACAGACGGGAGGAAGAAAAAACAUAAACUUCAGAACAAAGAAAGAAGAAAUGCAUAGAAAAUAGCAGAGGGAGAAAGUUUCGAGAGAGCUAGAGAGGUUACAGUUAUGAAAUGAUUUCAGACCAUGCAGAGGAAGAGAUUGAACUAAAACCCCAAUUUUGAGAAGAUGCUUCCCUCUUUGCCUCACCCUCUGAAAGAUUGAUAAAUACCGGGCUGGAAUGGUCGGUCCGGACAGUCUUCAAGGAGUUCUUGAAAAAGAAUCUGAAGUACAUCUAUGAACAAUCACAUAUGCAUUUGGGCAAUCUAUAGGUUCUCCAUCUGCUCUCAUCGCUGAACUACCACAUUCCUUCAGAUAAAUGGACCUGCCACCUCUGGUUUAUUAAAGACUAAAACAAUUUCCGUUGAACAGGUCUUUGCAUAAACCUUCUUUGGGGCAGGAGACUGAUGUGGAGUAUACUUAAGUCGUUUUCAGAUUAGUAUUUGAAUUGACCUUCUGAGGGGUGCCAAGUGCAAUUCACCAAAAUCCCAAACUGGAAUUAGUCCAUCUCCCAUUUCCUUUGAAAUACUCAACAAUUUAGUUUCUUUUUCUAUCAAGUUUGCCUUCAACUUUUCAAUAUCAGCCUACAUUUUCUCUAGUUUCGUCUGUGGUUCAGCUUGUAUUGGACUGGGUCUAGAUUUUGCGUGUUCUACAUGCUCAUAAGUGCUUCCAAACUACACCAUGUCCUGAACAUAUUCUUUCUGAUACCUGACCUUGGCAUCAAGAGCAGAUUUUAAAUGUCCCAUCUUUAAGACCAGAUUACUACUUAUGAAGUAGUCUAGGCUCUCCUUCAAACGGCUGAGACAGUGAGCAUUGUAACCACUGCCAAAUACUUUGUUAGUUGCUGAAAGAAAGCUUGGGUUCCUAUCUGAAAUUAGAACCACAUGACAAUUCAUCAGUAAAUACUUCAGAUGCUCUAGGAACCACAACCAGUUUUCUUCAUUAUCAGUAUUAACCACCCCAUAAACUAGAGGAUAUUAGUCAUCAUCUACAUCUAAGGCAGAUGCAGACAACAAAGUGUCUUUAUGUGGCCCACUCAAGUGAUAGGCGUCAACAAACAGCAACUCCCUGGAAUUGACUUCAUAAGUCGCUUGCACAUCCAUGGAAUUAGCUUGUAAGAGUCCUCUGGCUUUCCAAAAUUCGCUGUGCUGGAGAAAGUCCAAUAGUGAGGGCUGCUGCUGAGCGAAUGCAAUAGUUCCUUUACAUGCAGUUGAGCCACCAGCCUGUUAAUUUCUCAGCUCAUGGCGUAGGUGAACAUUAAGCUGCUGAAGAUAGACUGGCUCUCUACAUCAGAUCACAUUGAUUUGUUUGGAGUUGCCCAAUUUCUUUGGCAAAUCUUCAUUUUCGUGUCUCGAAUUGUGGUUCAGUUUCCUUACUUCUUCUACCUCUGGACAUUCCAAAACAAAACUUGCAAAGGCUUGAAUGGCUUCUAAACUUUCUGCCAAUUCAGAAUUUUCCAACUGCAGGUUCACAUUAGAGUUCUUCUAACUCCUCUGCUUCAGCAGCCUCAAAGCAUUCCUUUUUAGCAGCUUCACGCUCUUCUGUUGCAAAUCCUCUUUGAUCACUCUCAAUAAUUACCAAUAAUUUUUGCUUGGGUUGAAGAACAAACCUUCUUGGUGUAUACCUUAAAGGAAUCGCAGAUUCAUUAAAUGUUUCACCCAGUCAUUCAAUAGUGAAGACUAUGCAACCAUGAAGGAAAGUGAGUCAAUGCAUGAACUAAUGGGUCGGGCCUUGUGGUGCCUAAAGUGGGCCUAGGUGGGCCAAAGUAAACCUAAGUGAGCUUAGAAAAGUGCUCUAGUGACCUAGAGUGAACUAAGUGGAAUUUAACUUAAAGUGCACCCAAAGUAAAGCCUAACCUAAACUCAAAGGAUGACUAAUGUCACAAUGAGAAGCCAGAUAAACCCUCAACCAAAGUCUCUAAGGUGGCUCAGAGAAGGCAAAUUGCAUAGUAGUAAUUAGCUACAAAUGAACCAUUGUAAAAUACUAAACGAGCCCUCAAUAGAACAUGUGUUAAGGGGACAAAAUGGAGGGUCUACAGUAAUAGAACAAAAAUUCUAAAAUCUUCAAAUCUCAACUUUUAAACCAACAUAUCAACCAUAAUAUUUUUGUCUGAGCAAUUUCAAACUAAAACAAUAGCUAACAAUAAUUAAAUUCUAAUAUUUAACAAAAUCCCAAAAAGAGAGUUUAAACAAAUAUCCUAAUAAAGCCAAAAUUUUCAUUUCUCACCCGAACUUAGGGUACUUGAAAAAUUAACAACAAAGGGGGAUGAACUCAAAACUCAAUAAAAAACAUUAAUAUAGUUUCAUAGAUCAAAUAUUUUCAUUCAUGCUUCCAAAUAGGAGAUAUAGGGUAUAAUCAUUUUCAUAAAACGUUUGAGUUCAAACAUGCUAAUACAUUUUAAACAGUUCAACCAAACAUUUUCAUAUAUAUCAAAACCAUUUCAUAUCAAAUCCAAAUCAAAUACAUUUCAAUUAUUUUUAUUCUAGUUACCAAACAAUAAAUGGCGCUUAGUUAAGUGAAACUUUACAAAUGGGUAGUUAGCCUCAAAUUUGUUCCUUUUAAGGUGGACAGAAUCAAAAGUAACCUCUAAUCAAAGCCCUCAAGGUUGGGGUCUAAAUCAAUUAUAUUUUUCACCACAAAAAUGAAAAGGUCAACUAUUAUAUUUCGUUGACAAGGGCCGAAAAGUCAAUUAUUAUACUCCAUUGAUAAGGACCAAAAAAAUUAAAAUCAAAUUCUUUGUUUUAUUUAUUCAAACUUACGGAAACAUAAGACCUCCAUAUAUUCUAUUAUAAACAAAAGAAAUGUUAUAAUAUAUUUUUCAUGCAAAAAUAUAUUUGAUCCAUACAUAAAAGCAAAAAUAACAUUUACAUAUAUAUAUAUAUAUAAUUAUCUUCUUUUGCAAAGUUUGUAUUAAUUUCUCUUAGCUCAAAAGAGUCCUAAAAAACCUUGGAGAGAAAUAAUUAUGGAAAAUCUAUUCUUCACUUAACAUAACAUAAUAGAAAUAAAUAUUACUAUUUAUCUACAAUUUAAUUAAUCUAUUCCGUAUUUAAAUAAAAUUAAUAAAUUUCUAAUUUGAUUCUAAUAACACAUUACUAAUUUAAUUAAAUUGCAAUUUUAUUUCAUUAUAUAUAUAUAUAUAUAUAUAUAUUUUACUAAAUCUCUCAUUCUAUUUAUUACAUUAAACCAUUAUUACUAUUAUCUUAUUUAUUAACCUAGACCUAAAUAUUAUUAUUUUAUUAAUUAUCAAAUUCAAUAGCCACCCAAACCAUUACCCACUUGUCUCCGGGACACACAAAACCAAUAAAACAAAGCAAGUUCUUUCAAUUGUCAUCAUCAUUAUUAUGAUGAUUCAUUAUUUAUUUAUUUAUUCUUGGUUUUCCAAGUUCUUCCUUCCAUCCAAUGCACAUGCCUCUUUUUUAUUCUUUAUUUCUUUCUUAACCCUAACACGUCUUUUUUUUUUUUUUUACUUCUAGGAAUGUGCACACAAAUACAAUGCCUCAAAACCAUAAAUACAAGUAUCUAUAUAUCACCCCUCCAAAAUCCAGAAAUCAUGUAAUUCUUCUUAUUAUUUAUUUAUUUAUUUUCUUUUCAAUCUAAAGUCUCCACUAACGACUUAUUUAUUUAUUAUCUAAAUCUAAAAUUUCUUUUCUUCCUCUGUUUUUUUUCAUUUUAAAUUUAUUUAUUUAUUUUUCUAUUCCAUUGAAAUUUUUGAAAUUUUCCUAUCUUCAUCAAUAAAUCAACCUAUACUUGCAAUUUUUCAAACAUUUUGAUCUAAAAGUUUAAUAAACAAACCCUAAUCUAGAUUUAGAUUUUCCAAAAAAAUAUCUAAUAUGUUUUAAAGUAACUAACGAAUCUAAAAUAUUAAUCUAGGGGUUAGAAUCUUAUCGGAAAAGUAUGGACUUCAAACCUUAAACCUUCAAACCUUCACCCCUAUGUUCACCAAUUCUCUAAUUUUGGUUAAUAAGGUUUUUGGAAUAGAGAAGACAAGAAAAAAAAAAUCUAAUUCAUACCUAGGACUAUUAAUGGAAAAAAUGACAUUUUUCCCCUAAUGAAUUUAAUUAAUUUUUAAUUUACUAUUUUACCCUUAAAAUUAAUUUGGGGUGUUAUAGUAUCAAUGGAUGAAAAAAAAAAAUCAAAAGGCUUAGGUCAUAAAUUUUAUUUCAAAAUCAUUUAAGAAUUAAUUAAUUAAAACUCAAUUUUUAAGUUUUUAAAUUUUAAAUUCCUCCCUUAUUCAUUAUUGGAUUGAAUUCUUUUAACUAUUUUUCCCUCUUUUAACUUUAUUAUUUCUUUCAUAAUUUUUAUCAUUAGAACAUAUAAGCUUUCUUGUUUCUCUUAAGAUUUUGUAAAUCAUUUAUGUGAAAUUUUAAAACCAAAUUAGCUAUCAAUAUUUCUUCUACUUUUUUCUCAAUCAAAUGCAUGGUUUGUUGUUGAUACUUAUCUUGGUUCAUCUAUAAGUGAGACCAUACUUUUUUUUCCAUUUGGAAGUCCUAAGGAAUCGACAUGUAGCCUAUAACAAGGACUACCAAAUUAAUCAUUUAUAGUUUACAAUAAAAUAGAAUGCAUAUUAAAGGGGCUCUAGACUCGCAACUGUGAAUAUAUUGUUUGUUCUAGGUCCAACAGGUUUUCAAAAUUUCAAAAUAUGUUUACAAGGCUAAGAGGAGUCCAUACAAAUAUAAUAUAUAUGUAAAAUUGCAAGGUUAAACGUUUUUAGAGAAACACUUCAAUUAAAAGCAUUUCCAAUAAAAACACUUUCAAUCGAUCAUUAAUUAUCUUUAGUUAAUUAUCAUCAAUUCCUAAAUAUAUAUUUAUUCUCCUUAUCGGGGAUUUUACUAAAAUGCUUUUUUUUUUUUUUUAUCAAACUAAACUAUGCAAGUGUAGGAAGUAGUUCUGUUUAAUAUGCUCAUAUGCUCUUUAGAUCAUGUUCUCCUUGAGUUGCUUGUUUCUUCUUAACAAAAAAAAUACAGUUUGUCACCCAUUUUGAAGGGAGAUAAUAACGAAAAACUCAUAGUUAAAAAAAAAAAAAAAAAAAAGUGAUUUCAACAGUUUUGGGAAUUAUCACUCUCAACAAUCUAUUAAAAAAUUGUAAAGAUUACAUGUUGGCUCUCCCCAGCCCCAAGGACGCUUACUGUCACAAGAAACCCAUAUCCUAUCUUCCACCCCAAGCCUGCUUCUGCCACUCAAAGUCCAAUCACAAUAUUCAGAGCUCCCAAGAUGAGAGCAAGUCUCCCUACCAAGUGAUGUUACUAGUUCCAGUACUUGCGCUGUUUGGAUGUCUUGUCCGGCCUUAGAAUCAAUGCCAUUACCCAAGAAGAAGAAAACUUAGUUUUCAGCAUGCUUGAAGAAAUAUAUUUAGUUAAUGUCGAGUGAACGCCCAGGGAGAGUGAAAACAAACCUGAAGAAUGCCAAGGAAAAACACCAAGGAUCCGAGGGGUCUGUGAAUCUUGAAUUUGGGAAUGCGAUAAGACUCCAGUCCAUUGUAGAGUGUCCUUCCUGCGACGACAGUAGCAAGACCCGGAAGAAAACCCACAAUCUGGAUCGAGAUAUGAAGAUAAAACCAUUGAGGAUCAUGAUGCUUGAAGUAUCUAGGGAUGAUUGCCCCAGAUGGAAGGAGCACGUCCCAUGCAAUUAGGCCCAUGUCUCCAUGACGCGUCUCCAAAUCUCCAGUGUUAUUGACACCAGAGUUAUAUCCUGUGAGACACACAACAGAAAUUUUCCAUAUCAGACUUCAAAGAGUUUUAUCUGAAGCUCCCACUUUAUUUCCUAGAUAUAAGCCCCUCACGUCUAGAAUGUAAAAUCCUCUGUUCUCUGUUCAAAUUUCAGCUUUGCAAUUGGAGUCAAUACAUCUCGUAUUCAAUUCAAUCCUCAUCUUUUUAUGGCCUCCUAAAUUCUAUGACCCAGUUUUGUGAAAAACUACAUCAUGGGGACCCAAGAGGAUGGGAUUUGAUUCAAUGUUAGGUACAAAAUUUUGGAAAAAUCUGCAAAACCCUCAACAGUUGUGACCACAGCUCAAGACCAAGGUGGGAAUUUACAAUCUAAUAAUGCUGAUGAAUGCUUCAUAGACUGCUCUACGAAACUAGAGUUUGUUAGAAUGCCUGUCCUUUGUUGAAAGACAUGAAGAUCCUCACAUUCUCGAGCAGGAAGAACCUUGGCCGAAAGUAGUCGGCAAAGGAUAAGAAGGCUGGGAUCAUUUCACACUGAACUUUACUCCAACUACUCUGGUUAAACGUAUUCAUCCUAGAGAAAACCUGUGAAGAUAUUAACCAUGACAUAGACUUAAAUGUGAUACAUCCAACAUUCCCAUUAGUUGGUGUUGACAUCCAACUACCUCUUUGUCUACAACGAAUGGAAUUGAAAAGGAUUAUAUAAAGAAUUUGAUAAAUGUGUGAACUUCAUAUUUUCAUUAAAAUCAAAUCGUAUAAAUAAUACAUUGAAGCAAAACAGAAAGCAAUAACUAUAUCCUAUAUUUCAGCAAUAUUCAAGCUGACCUAUUCUUAAAGAAUACUAACAGAAAAAUAUUUGGAGGACUACAUUCAUCCCAGAGAAACCCUGUGAAGAUGGCAGCCUUGUUUUAGCUCUUUGAAUAGAGUGAAAUAACAUAGCAGAAGCUGAUCAAACCUGGCAUGGAGGGCCCCCCAUUAAUAAAAUCAACUUGUCCAAGCAUCCGGUGAUGCAGAUUGUUUGGCAGCCUCAGAAGUAGAGACACGGUCAUCGGCAUUCCCGCACUCCUCCACGACAGCCCUGCAUCACAACCAAUUUACGGGUCUAUUACAAAUGAGAGAGAGAAAAAGAGAUUUUCAUGUUAAUGAAAUCAUUCACCUUAGGAUCGAACUGAAACGAUAAACAUCAAUGAUUCCGGAUGAUUGAAUUUGAGUGCAUCCCCAGCAGGCUCUUCAUAUUCAGUAGCCUACUUGGUUACUGAUACACCUGCAAAGUUGAAAGCAACAGGAGGUAAAAUCAUCACAUUCUUUAAUAAAAAUGUCAUCACAUACGACUCUUUAGCUGAUAUAGAUACAAAUGAAGUACCUGCUUGAGGGGCCCUUCAAAGGAAAAUAUAUUCCAAAGGUUGCAAGGACAUCACAUGGUGGCAGAUCAUGCUUCUGAAUAACCUGCACAUUCCACCCUUCAAAUAUAUUAGAAAAAUAAUAUAAUUGUAGUUUUAUAUUAUAAUAGAAGUUCAAAAAAACAAGAGAAAUUAUGCACGAUUGCUUGCGCCCACCUCAUGGAUGUCAUAACAGUAUGCCUUCUUGCUUUUACAUUUUUCAGUAAUAAUUGAUCGAUAACGAAUUUACAUGGAGAAGUGAGAACCCUCAGCUAGUUUCAUCCCCAUGACCAUGACCCAGCAGCUCACCCAACGUAAUCACAGAAAACGGUUUUGGCAAUGGUGGCCACUGUUUUGAGAGUGCUCGAGCAACUUGUUGCAUAGUUGGCCGAGAUUGGGGAUUAACGCACAAACAUGCAAAUGCCAACUUCACUGCAACCACUACUUCCUCUGCCACUUGAUUCACAGGAGGUGAGGGGCGCUGGUCUAUCACAUCAUUCAGCAGGAAAUGGCCGACCGUUGAUGGUGAUGCAGAUGAGGAGGACGCUGAUGAUAACAGGGAUGAGAUAAGCUCUCCGGGAUGCCUUCCCAUAAUUACUUCUAAUGUCACAACACCGAAGCUGUAAACAUCGGUUUUAUUAUCCACCUUCAUUGUGUAAGCAAGUUCUGCAAAAGAAGAUUAGAUCAUGCUCUGCUCUGCUAAGCAAUUAGAAACGUUACAUAUGACGUAUAGAGGCCAUUUAGAGAUAAGCAAGGCACUAAGAAAAAUGUACCUGGAGCUGUAUAACCAAAAGUUCCUGCAAAUGAAGUCCAAUUAGAUGAGUCUGACUUUAAAAGCCUAGCCGUGCCGAAGUCAGAUACAUGAGCUUCAUAUUCUGAAUCUAACAAAACAUUGUUGCUCGAUAUGUCUCGAUGAAUUACAGGAGGUGAGCAAUCAUGGUGCAUAUACGAUAAAGCUUUAGCCACGCCUUUAAUAACGUUUAGCCUCACAAUCCAAUCUAAUCUUUCUGCUUCUUCGUCAUUGCAUAGAAUGUUUUGCAAACUCCCCUUUUCCAUAAACUCAUAAACCAAAAAUGAGUUCUCUGCAAAUGAACUGAAGCCAUAAAGCUUGACGAUGUUGCGGUGCCUUAUCUGUGUUAAAGCAUGAAUCUCGCUUUUGAAAGCUUUCAAAUCAGCCAUAUCUCCAUCUUCUGAUGAGUGAAGCUUUUUCACAGCAACAACCCGACCUGUUGGCAACUCAGCCUUGUAAACAGUACCAUAUCCUCCAGUGCCAAUACACUGUUUCGAACUGAAAUUGUCGGUCCCCUGUAUGAUGUGCUCAUACAACAAUUCCCCAUCAUGGCCCCAUAUUGCAAAUAGAUCUUCGACAUCUGCUUCUGGAGACUUGUUUUUUCUCUUCCUCAAUUUUUGGAAAAGAAAAAAAAUGCCAAUAACAAAAGCAAGUAAGAACAAUAGACUGCUCACAAGUAGGAGUAUUACUAUCAAAACAGAAAACUUGUUGGCCUUCUUUCGACUAGCACUGCAUGGCUUGAGAUGAGUGACAUUAUUACCACACAGACCUUUAUUAUUUUUGAAUGCCUCAAAUGGAGCGAAGGCUUUGAUGUUGGGGAGAGGACCUUCCAACUGAUUGUAGGAUAUAUCAACAACUGUCAGGCUUAUCAGAUCAUCAAACGUGUGUGGGAUGGUGCCAGAGAGCCCGUUAUGGGAGAGAUUCAACGUUUCCAGGUACUGUAAUUCUCCAAGUAGCGGUGGUAUCUCUCCUAUUAGCAUAUUUUGACUAAGAUCGAGACUUUCAAGAUGAUGCAACUUUCCAAUUUCAUCGGGAAUGCUAUCCACAAAUCUAUUCUCGCUCAAGUUGAAGGACCUUAAUUUCCAGAAGUUUCCCAGUUGUUUGGGAAUUGAACCGCUUAUGUUGUUUGAUGCCAAGUCAAGAAUUUCAAGAUUGGAUAAGUUUCCCAAUUCCAAAGGAAUACUACCUGAAAGACUGUUGUUUCCUAAUAACAAUUUGAACAAUAAUGGCAACAUACCCAACUCUUUCAGGAUCUUCCCACUUAGAUGAUUGGCGGAGAGAUCAAGCUGUCGCAGCUGAGUUGCUUUCCCAAGUUGAGGCGGUAUAGCACCAGAAAUAUUGUUGUUGGAGAUGUUCAGGUUUGUGAGCAUGUGGCACUGCCCCCAUUUCUCAGAAAGCUCACCAUAAAAAUUGUUGCUGCUUAGAUCAAUAUAAUUUAGAGUUGGGUACACACCAAAACUUUCGGCUAUGUCCCCUGUCAAUUGAUUUCUUUCAAGCCUAACUCUGAAUAAGCUAGUGCAAUUUUUCAAGCCUUUUGGAAUAGGACCAGUGAAAUGAUUUCCAGAGGCUGUAAAGUUUUCAAGAACACUACCAAGGCAUAUCUCUUGUGGUAGUUGGCCAAUGAAGUUAUUCUCAACUAACUGUAAAGAUUUCAAAUGAGUGAUAUUAUUCAUUUCAAGAGGAAUCGCACCACUAAGCUUGUUGUGAUCAAGGAACAAAAAGGUUAAGCUGGACAAGUUUCCUAUGGAUGGAGGGAUUGGACCACUGAGACUAUUAGCUGCCAAGUCAAGAUCAUAAAGUGAUGUCAACAAUCCAAUUUCUUGAGGGAUGGAACCAGAAAGCUUGUUCUCAAAAAGAUAUAAAGUGGUUAAAUUUCUCAAGUUUCCAAUGGAUGGAGGGAUCGAACCAGUGAGACUAUUAGUUUCCAACUCAAGAUCUAUAAGUGAUGUCAACAAUCCAAUUUCUUGAGGAAUAGAACCAGAUAGUUUGUUUGUAUGAAGGUACAAAGUCGUUAAGUUCCUCAAGUUACCUAUCGAAGGAGGGAUUGGACCGAUGAGAUUGUUAAAUGACAAUUGAAGAUCAUUAAGAGAUCUUAACAAUCCAAUUUCUUGAGGGAUGAAACCAGAAAGCUCGUUCUCAAAAAGAUAUAAAGUGGUUAAAUUUCUCAAGUUUCCAAUGGAUGGAGGGAUCGGACCAGUGAGACUAUUAGUUGCCAACUCAAGAUCAUUAAGUGAUGUCAACAAUCCAAUUUCUUGAGGAAUAGAAUCGGAUAGUUUGUUUGUAUGAAGGUAUAAAGUGGUUAAGUUCCUCAAGUUACCUAUGGAAGGAGGGAUUGGACCAGUGAGAUUGUUAGUUGACAAUUGAAGAUCAUUAAGAGAUUUUAACAAUCCAAUUUCUUGGGGGAUGGAACCAGAAAGCUUAUUCUUGAAAAGAUGCAAAGUGGUUAAGUUCCUUAGGUUUCCUAUGGAAGGAGGGAUUGGACCAGUGAGAUUGUUAGUUGACAAUUCAAGAUCAUUAAGAGAUCUUAACAAUCCAAUUUCUUGAGGGAUGAAACCAGAAAGCUCGUUCUCAAAAAGAUAUAGAGUGGUUAAGUUUCUCAAGUUUCCUAUGGAUGGAGGGAUUGAACCAGUGAGACUAUUAGUUGCCAACUCAAGAUCAUUAAGUGAUGUCAACAAUCCAAUUUCUUGAGGAAUAGAACCAGAUAGUUUGUUAGUAUGAAGGUAUAAAGUGGUUAAGUUCCUCAAGUUACCUAUGGAAUGAGGGAUUGGACCAAUGAGAUUGUUAGUUGACAAUUGAAGAUCAUUAAGAGAUCUUAACAAUCCAAUUUCUUGGGGAAUGAAACCAGAAAGCUUGUUCUUGAAAAGAUGCAAAGUGGUUAAGUUCCUCAAGUUUCCUAUGGAAUGAGGGAUUGGACCUGUGAGAUUGUUAGUUGACAAUUGAAGAUCAUUAAGAGAUCUUAACAAUCCAAUUUCUUGAGGAAUGGAACCAGAAAGCUUGUUCUCAAAAAGAUACAAAGUGGUUAAGUUCCUCAGGUUUCCUAUGGAAGGAGGAAUUGGACCAAUGAGAUUGCUAGUUGACAAUUGAAGAUCAUUAAGAGAUCUUAACAAUCCAAUUUCUUGAGGAAUGGAACCAGAAAGCUUGUUCUCAAAAAAAUGCAAAGUGGUUAAGUUCCUCAAGUUUCCUAUGGAAUGAGGGAUUGGACCAAUAAGAUUGUUAGUUGACAAUUGAAGAUCAUUAAGAGAUCUUAACAAUCCAAUUUCUUGAGGGAUGGAACCAGAAAGCUCAUUCUCAAAAACAUACAAAGUAGUUAAGUUUCUUAAAUUACCUAUGGAAGGAGGAAUUGGGCCUCUAAAAUUAUUAGAAGACAAUGCUAGAACACUAAGAGAUGUUAGAAAUCCAAGUUGGGGAGAUAUUACACCAGUGAAAUGAUUGAAAGCAAAGUUAAGAUUUGUGAUUCGUUUGGAAAGAUUACCAAUGUUGAUUGGAAUGGUUCCAUAAAGGGAGUUGUUAUAAAGAUUAAGAGUGAGAAGGUUAGGGAGUGAUGAGAAAUUGAGAUUGUGGAGUGUACCUCUCAAACCGCAAUUGUCAAGUUCUAAAUUGGAGACACUUCCUGACUUGUGACAAGUUAAUCCAAACCAAUGAUAGCAAGAAUUGCGUCCAGACCAAGAAGAGAGGAAAGAUUGGGUUUGAUUAUCAAGACUGGCUUUCCAUGUUAGAAGAGCGAGUCUUUCUUGAUCUUUUUCAACUUUUGAAAGAGAAGUGGUAGGUGUAGAGGCAGAUAUAGAAGUGACAUGGAAUGAUGAUAUUGAGUAUAGAAGGACAAGGAGAAAUAUGAAGUAGUAAGGAGUGAUAAAGAGUCGAGAGAGUAAGGAGUAGGAUGAAGAAUAUUCAAAGGCCAUUGUUGAAUUGGUAGAAAUGAAGUUAUUAAGAGGUUUACAUGGAGGGAAGGAUGAAGAUGAAACACUUAUUUAUAGACUUAAAUGUGAUACAUCCAACAUUUCCAUUAGUUGGUGUUGACAUCUAACCACCUCUUUCAUCUACAAAUAAUGGAAUUAAAAAGGAUUAUAUACAUGAGCUCAAUUCCACACAUAUUUUAUUUCAUUUUAUCGAAAUGCUCUGAAUUUUUCAAUUAAAAUUUACACCUACAAUUACAUAUGAAAUAAUUAAAAAUAUUUCUUUUCCACUCUAUGCACUUUUAAAUAUAACUUGUUUAAAAUUAAUAAUUACAAUUCAUUUUAAGAAGUAAGGACCAAAUAUGCCCACGUCAACAACCUAGUUGAUACAGGAAGUUCACUUUAACCAACAUUACUCCUUGUUUGGAUUGAAUUCUUUUAACUAUUUUGCCCUGAGAGAAAUAAACUUUUUUAACUCUAUUAGUUCUUUCAUAAUUUUUAUCCUUACAAUAUGAACUAUCUUAUUUCUCUUAAUAUUUUAUAAAUCAUUUAUGUUAUAUUUCAAAACCAAAUUAGUUGUCAUUUCUUGUACUUCUUUCCUAGACAAAUGCAUAAUUUGUGGUUGAUGUUUAUCAUUUUUAUUAAAGGUGUUCACAAUUUGUAAGUGAGACCCAUCAUCUAUGAAAAAUAUAGACAUGCUUUUUUUUCAUUUGGAAGUCUUAAGGAACUAGUAUUUGAACCACAACAAGGACUAAGGACUAACAAAUUUUCACUUUGUUUUUCAUCCAAAUAAGACACACAAUUGUUUUUGUAUUAUCUAUUCUAAGCCAAGGGGCUUUCAAGGCUUUAAAAUGCAUCUCUAAAGUUAAGAGGAGCCCAACAUAUAUAUCAUCAUGAGCUUUUUUCCCUAUUCAACGUGAGAUGUCACAAAAAUUGUUCAACAAGAUUAAUGCAUUUGUGAAGCUCAGAAGAAUCACAAAAAUCAAAGGAAAAUAUUUUGGGAAUUACAACAUAAAACAUGCAGGACCCAUGUACACAUGCAUUUUCCUUAUCAAACAGUUGUCUUGAAAAGCCAUUCUAAAGCCCACUUGGCUUCCCAUCACUAGUAAUGGACCAACAUCAUUCAAAUUCUCAAUGCUCUUGAAAGGCCAUAUGCACUUGAAGUAAAAAGAGAUUGAAUUUUUGUUAGAUAGUUUGUUUUUGCUAUUUGGGAACAUAUUUUUCUUUUCUUUUUUUUGUUCUUUUUUCUUUUUAAUAGAACGUUUACAUGGUAGCCUGCUCCAAUCCCCUUACGAAACUUUUGUUAUUAGGUUAGCCAUACACUUCACAUGUUUGUUUCUAGCGAUUCACAUGGUAUAAUCAAAUGAUACAAGUCUUGGAUAAGAAUCUACAAUGCACUAGAACACCCUUGUUGAUGAUCCUUUACUCCGAUAGUGUCUAGAGUUCCUCGAACAAUAUGAUAUCUCACAUUGGGUAAAUCCUUAACCCUUCCCCCUCUUACUAAGACUACAAAAUGUUCUUGUGAAUUAUGGCCAAUACCAGGUAUAUAAGUAGUGAUUUCAAAUCCAGAGGUUAAUCGUACUCUGGCAACUUUACGUAAGGCAGAGUUUGAUUUUUUUGGGGGUGAUAGUAGAAAAGUUGACAGAUAAGUCACCCUUACUAGAGUGUAAAAUCCUUUAUUUUUUGUUCAAAUUUUAGCUUUGCAAUUAGAGUCAAUACAUCUCGUAUUCAAUUCAAUCCUCAUAUUUUCUGGACUCCUAAAUUCUAAACCCUAUCUGGGUUUUCCAGUUUUGUGAAAAAUCACAUCAUAUGGACCUGACAGGAUGGGAUUUGAUUCAAUGUUAGAGACAAAAUUUUGGAAAAAUCUGCAAAACCCUCAACAGUUGUGGCCAUACCAUAGCUCAAGACCAAGAUGAGAAUUUACAAUCUAAUAAUGCUGAUGAAUGCUUCAUAGACUGCUCUACAAAACUAGAGUUUGUCAGAAGGCCUGUCCUUUGUUGAAAGACGUGAAGGUCGCAGGAAGAACCUAGGCCGAAAGUAAUCAGCAAAGGAUAAGAACACCAGGAUUAUUUCACAUUGAAACACUUUACUCCAACUACUCUGGUUAAACGAAUUCAUCCUAGAGUAAGCAUGUGAAGAUAGCAACCUUGUUAUAGACUUAAAUGUGAUACAUCCAACAUUCCCAUUAGUCGGUGUUGACAUCCAACUACAUCUUUGUCUACAACUAAUGGAAUUGAAAAAUUAUAUAGCUCAAUCCUGCACUUAUUUUAUUUUAUUUUAUCAAAGUGCUCUUGGAAUUGAAAAGGAUUAUAUAGCUCUUAAGUUUUAUUAACAUGAGUGCAAAUUAAUUUUAAUUUUGAAAAAGUUUUACUAAUUGGUGGAAAAUUCUUCCUCGAAUUAUAUGUGGAUAUGAAUUACUUGGAUAAAAUUUGGAGCUUUGUUGAUAUCAUGUUAGUGACUUAUUUUGUUGAGAUAUAUAGUUAUAAGACAAAUCUCAGCCAACUUUCUUUUUUUCUUAGAAAGACAAAGCUCAUUGCAAUGAAUAAUGGGAUCCAGAGAUGUAUAAAAGUGUGCAUUUUUACUUAAAAAAAAUGUGUUCCAUGACUAGCAUGUAUUUCAAAUUUAAGCUCAAACAAAAAGACCACUCAAUCCACUAAGAGCUCUUUAGAGAUGAAAACAACAUAAUAAUUGAAAACAAAAAUAAACUCAUUGAUAUGAAAAUAAAAAAUAUAUUUAUUUUGUUAUAAAAACUAUGAUAUCACAGAUUAAUUUGAAUGUGAAGUGAACUGGACUAUUGACUCUUUAAUUAAUAAAUCAAUUAAUUUUUAUAGUACUUUUUUUAUUAAAACAAUUCCUUAAUUGUGAAGUAAAUUUUACUUAUCUAUUCAUAUGUAUUUGAUAAAAUUAACCUUAAUGGGAUAGAAACAUCAUGCAAUUCAUUUUGUUUUUAUCAACAAUUCUUAUAAAGAGAUCACUUAAGGGAGAGAACUCACAUCAUCAAUGCUGAGUAGUUAUCACAAAGUGAUUAAAAUUUUUUUCCUAAAAAAAAAAUAUAUUUUUAUGAAAAUUGCUUUUAUUUAAAAUCAAUCAUAAUAUAAAUCAUGUUUUUAUUUUUUUUAUUAAGUUAAUAAGAUUUAAAAUUAAAAUAAAUUUUACAAAAUCAGUAAAUGUUUAUAUAUAUAAAAAAAUCAAAUGGCUCCACUCAUCCAUUAUUCAUGAUUGAUUGAACAAUGUAAAGAUGACAGUAUCUUCUAUGUAUAAUUUAAACACUCUCACCCUAGACUUUUAUACAUGAAUAGCUAUUAGAAAAUACAAAAUUUAAUGCAAAAAUUGGACUGAGGGAGUAACAUAACCUCAUCAAUGCUUGUAGUUGAUACAUAAAUAGAUUGAAGAGGAUACAACUACCAUCACAAAUAAUAAAUGAAAAAUAAUUAAUAUAACCAUAAUUUAGUUUUUCUUUUGUUUAAAUAAUCAACUAUUCUAGUUGGGGAAUGGAUCAUAUAUGGGGUCCAUGAAUUAAAUUAUUGUACAAAAUGUCUUACAAGAAAAAUGUUACUUAGCUUACGAUUUAUACAUUUGCUUUCAAUUAACUAAUGGUUCUAAUAUAUAAGUGUUCAUUUGGAUAAAGUUCUUAUUUUCCAGUUUUAAAAAUAAAAAAUAGUAAUAACUUCUAUUGAAAAUAUAAAAAAUCAUCUAACUCUUAAGACACAACUACCAUCACAAAUAAUAGACAAAAAUAAUUAAUAUAACCAUUGUGAGGUUGUUCUUUUGUUCAAAUAAUCAACUAUUUUAGUUGGGGAAUGGACCACACAUAUGGGGUCCAUGAAUUAAAUUAUUGUACAAAAUGUCUCCAAGAAAAAUGUUAUUUAGAUUAUUAUUUAAACAUUUGCUUUCAAUUAAUUAAUUGUAUUAAUAAUUGAGUGUCCAUUUGGAUGGAGUUCUUAUUUUCUAGUUUUAAAAAUAAAAAAUAGUAAUAACUUCUAUACAAAACAUAAAAAGUCUUCGAGUCUUAACACACAACUACCAUCACAAAUAAUAGACGAAAAACAAUUAAUAUAGUCAUUAUGAGGUUGUUCAUUUGUUCAAGCAAUCCACUAUUCUAGUUGGGGAAUGGACCACAUAUGUGGUCCAUGAAUUAAAUUAUUGUACAAAAUGUCUCACAAGAGAAAGGUUAUUUAGCUCACUAUUUAUAUAUUUGCUUUCAAUUAAUUAAUUUUUACUAAUAAUUAAGUGUCCAUUUGGAUGGAGUUUUUAUUUUUCUAGUUUUAAAAAUAAAAAACAGUUACAACUGCUAUAUAAAAGACAAAAAGUCUUCUAGUUUUAAGACACAACUACCAUCACAAAUAAUAGAUGAAAAACAAUCAAUAUAACCAUAAUGAGGUUGUUCUUUUGUUCAAAUAAUCAACUAUUCUAGUUGGGGAAUGGACCAUACAUGGGGUCCAUGAAUUAAAUUACUGUAUAAAACAUCUCACAAUAAAAAUGUCAUUUAGCUUACUAUUUAUACAUUUCCUUUCAAUUAAUUAAUUAUACUAAUAAUUAAGUGUCCUUUUGGAUGGAGUUAUUUUCUAGUUUUAAAAAUAAAAAUAGCAAUAACUUCUACAUGAAAUAUGAAAAGUCUUUGAGUCUUAUAUCCAAAAUGUAGUGCCUUUUAAACUUGAUUUGAAAAAAAAAAUAUUAAAAAAAAUUACUAUUUGGAAUUUUAAAUUUUUUGAAAAAUAUUUUUCAAAAUGUAAGGUAAGUCUAUAUUUUUUGUAUAUGAAUAUAUGUUUUUUAGAUAAAGUUUUCUUUUGUAAAAGAUAAAAAAUAGAAAAUAUAUCUAAAUGGAACAUAAAUGCUUACAUAAAAAUUAUCAAACAAUGAAAUGUUACUUAAAUCUGUAGUUAAAAAAUUAUAAUAGAGAACUCGUAAGCAAAAAAGUAUAUAUACUUAGUAAAGAGAAUUAAGACUAAUUAAUUGCAAAGAAAUUGUGACACAUUCAUGGGUAAAUCCAACACAUGUUUAGUGCAUGGCCCAAGUUUGUUAAAAUACUAUCAAAUAAUAAAGUUAUUAUGAACUCAAGAACUUCGGAUUACCAAAACCAACCUAAAUAAUUGGUCAUGCAUGACCUAUUUUAAAGUCUUUGCCAAUCCUGAAGUUAACUUGAAAAUUGUGUAAACAUGUUUCUUAGAAAUACACAUUUCAAACUCUCUCAAUCUUUCUUUACCAAAAACUCAAUACACCCUUUUUGUACCUCUCUUUACUCUUUGCUUAGUUUUUCCUUCUCUAUAAAAAUACUAAAUAAAGUCACAUAUUUAUGGAGUCCUAUUGGUUAACCCUAGACCAAUAGUUUCCCAAUCCUUUGUUAAGUUCAAAAGUAACUUACCAAAACAUACACACUAUAAAUAUUUACUCUCCAAAAAAUAAAUAUUAAAAUAAUUUGAGUCAAUGCACUCAACUGAAUCAUCGAUAACCAUAAUUUCUAGGGAUACAAAAUUGUUUAACAAGAUUAAUGCAUUUGUGAGGCUUAGAUGAAUCACAAAAAUUAGAGGAAAAUCUUUUGGGCAUUACCACAUAAAAGAUGUAGGACCACAUAUGCAUUUUCCUUAUAAAACAAUUGUCUUGACAAGCCACUUUAAAGCCCACUUGGGCUUGCCAUCACCAUUGAUGGACCUACAUCAUUACAUCAUUCAAAUUCUCGAUGCUCUUAAAGGUGGUAUCCACUUGAAGGUAAAAGGAUUCCAAUUUUUGUUAGAUUGUUUGUCUUUUCUAUCUGGAAACUAUUUUUCUUUUCUUUCUUUUUUAUAUCACAUUUACUCUCCUAGAAUGUAAAAUUCUCUGUUCUCUGUUCAGAUAUCAGCUUUCCAAUUGGAAUUAAUACAUCUAGUAUUCAAUUCAAUCCUCAUCCUUUUCUGGCCUCCUAAAUUCUAAACUUUGUCUAGGUUUUCCAGUUUUAAGAAAAAAUACAUCAUGAGGACCCAACAUGAUGGGAUUAGAUUCAAUGUUAAAGACAAAAUUUUCAAAUAAUCUGCAAAACCCCUCAACAUUUGUGGCUAUAGUUCACGACCAAGGUGGGAAUUAACAAUCUAAUAAUGCGGAUGAAUGCUUCAUUGACAGCUCUACCAGACUAGACUUCGACGGAAUGCAUGAUAACAAAUUUACAUGGAGAAGUGAGGACCCUUGGCUAGUUUCACCCCCAUGACCAUGGCCCAGCAGCCCAGCAGCUCAUUCAAUGUAAUCAUGGAAAACGCUUUUGACAAUGGUGGCCAUUGUGUUGAGAGUGCUCUGUCAAUUUGUUGCAUAGUUGGCCGAGAUUGGGGAUUAACAUGCAAGCAUGCAAAUGCUAAUUUGACUGCAAGUGCUACUUCCUUAGCCACUUAAUUCACAGGAGGUGGGAGCCGCUGGUCCAUCACAUCAUUCAACAGGCAAUGGUCCACAGUUGAUGGUGAUGAGGAUGAUGAGGACGCUGAUGAUAACAGGGAUAAGAUGAGUUCUUCAGGGUGCUUUCCCAUAAUUACUUCCAAUGUUACCACUCUGAAGCUAUGAACAUCGGUUUUAUUAUCCACCUUCAUCUUGUAAGCAAGUUUUGCAAAGAAGAUUAGCUCAUGCUCUUCUCUACUAAGCAAUUGUGAAAGUUACAUAUGAUGUAUAGAGGUCGUUUAGAGAUAAGCAAGGCACUAAGUAAAAUGUACCUGGAGCAGUUUAACCAAAAGUUCCUGCCAUUGAAGUCCAAUUAGACGAGUCUGACUUUAAAAACCUAGUCGUGCUGAAGUCAGAUACAUGAGCUUCAUAUUCUGAAUCUAACAACACAUUGUUGCUCGAUAUGUCUUGAUGAAUUAUGGGAGGUGAACAAUCAUGGUGCAUAUAGGAUAAAGCUUUAGCCACGCCUUUAACAACAUUUAGCCUCACCAUCCAAUCUAAUUUUUCUGCUUCUUCGUCAUUGCUAAGAAUGUUUCUCAGGCUCCCCUUUUCCAUAAACUCAUAAACCAAAAAUGAGUUCUCUACAAAUGAACUGAAGCCAUAAAACUCGAUGAUAUUGCGAUGCCUUAUAUGUGUUAAAGUAUGAAUCUCACUUUUGAAAGCUUUCAAAUCAGCCAUAUCUCCAUCUUCUGAUGAGUGAAGUUUUUUCACAGCAACAACCCGACCUAUUGGCAUCUCAGUCUUGUAAAGAGUGCCAUAUCUUCCAGUGUCAAUACACUGUUUCGAACUGAAAUUGUCAAUGCCCUGUAUGAUGUGCUCAUACAACAAUUCCCCAUCAUGGUCCCAUAUUGCAAAUAGAUCUUCAACAUCUGCUUCUGGAGACUUGGUUUUUCUCUUCCUCAACUUUUGGGAAAAAAAUAAAAUAAAUGUCAAUAAUAAAAGCAAAUAAGAACAAUAGAAUGCUCACAAUGAGGAGUAUUAUGAUCAGAACAGGAAACUUGUUGGCCUUGUUUCUACUAGCACUGCAUGGCUUGAGAUGAGUGACAUUAUUACCACACAGACCUUUAUUAUUUUUGAAUGCCUCAAAUGGAGGAAAGGCUUCGAUGUUGGGGAGAGGACCUUCCAAUUAAUUGUAGGAUAUAUCAGCAACUGUCAGGCUUAUCAACUCGUCAAAUGUGUGUGGGAUGGUGCCAGAGAGCCUGUUAUGGGAGAGAUUCAACAUUUCCAGGUACUGUAAUUCUCUAAUCAGCAGUGGUAUCUCUCCUGUAAACAUAUUUUGACUAAGAUUGAGACUUUCAAGAUGAUGCAUCUUUCCAAUUUCAUCAGGAAUGCUAUCCACAAAUCUAUUCUCGCUCAAGUUCAAGGAUAAAAAUUUCCAGAAGUUUCUUAGUUUUUUGGGACUUCAACCGCUUAAGUUGUUUGGUGCCAAGUCAAGAAUUUCAAGAUUGGAUAAGUUUCCCAAUUCCAAAGGAAUACUUCUUGAAAGAUUGUUGUUGCCUAGCAACAAUUUGAAUAAUAAGGGCAAUAUACCAAAUUCUUUGGGUAUCUUCCCAAUCAGAUGAUUUGUGGAGAGAUCAAGUUGUUGCAGUUGAGGUGGUAUAGCACCAGAAAUAUUAUUGUUGGAGAUGUUCAGGUUUGUGAGCAUGUGGCACUGCCCCCAUUUCUUAAAAAGCUCACCAUAAAAAUUGUUACUGCUUAGAUCAAUAUAAUUUAGGUGUGUGUAGACACCAAAACUUUCAUCUAUGUCUCCCAUGAGUUGGUUUCUUUCAAGCUUAACCCUAAAUAAGCUUGUGCAAUUUUUCAAGUUCUUUAGAAUAGGACCAGUGAAAUGGUUUCCUAAGGCAGCAAAUUAUUCAAGAACACUACCAAGACAGAUCUCUUGUAUAAGUUGGCCAAUGCAGUUAUUCUCAGCUAACAUCAAAGAUUUCAAAUGAGUGAUAUUAUUCAUUUAUGGAGAAAUGCACCACUGAGUCUAUUGUAAUGAAGGGCCUAAAAGGUUAAGCCCGACAAUUUCUUAUGGAAGCUGGUAUUGAACCACUAAGAUUGUUAAAUGACAAAUUAAGAUCAAGCAAUCUCAACCAUUGAAUUUCUUGAGGGAUUGAACCAGGAAGCUUAUUCUCAAAAAGAUACAAAGUGGUUAAGUUUCUCAAGUUUCCUAUGGAAGGAGGGAUUAGACUAGUGAGACUAUUUGUAGUCAACUAAAGAUCAUUAAGUGCUAUCAACAAUCCAAUUUCUUAAGGAAUAGAACCAUAUAGUUUGUUUAUAUGAAGAUACAAUUCCUCAAGUUUCGUAUAGAUGGAGGGAUCAAACCAGUGAGAUUGUUAGCUAAUAAAUCAAGAACAUUGAGAAAUCUCAACAAUCCAAUUUCUUAAGGGAUGGAACCAUAAAGCUCAUUCUUAAAAAGGUACAAAGUGGUUAAGUUCCUCAAGUUACCAAUGGAAGGAAGGAUUGGACCAAUGAGGUUGUUAGUCGAUAAUAGAAGAUUAUUAAGUGAUUUCAAUAAUCCAAUUUCUUGAGGGGUAGAACUAGAAAGCUCAUUCUAAAAAAGAUGUAAAGUGGUUAAGUUCCUCAAGUUUCCUAUAGAUGAAGGGAUCAAACCAAUGAGAUUGUUAGCUAAUAAAUCAAGAAAAUUAAGAUAUCUCAACAAUCCAAUUUCUUGAGGAAUAGAACCAGAAAACUCAUUCUUAAAAAGGUACAAAGUGGUUUUUGAAGGAAAGAUGAGUUUUCAGUUCUAUGCACCAAAGGAAAAGAAUGAAAUAGAAGAAGAAGAUGAAAUUUUUUUUCUCGAUUUCUGAAGGAAGAGAUAAGGAGUUGUUCUGUAAAUGAAGCAAAAGAGGAGAAGUUGUAAGUGUUGGAGGAAAAUAAAAGGAGGGGUAUUUUUGUCUUAAUCGAGUCAUUUUUUGUAUUUUUGAACGGUGGGUAUUUUUACAAAUAUGGGGGUUAUUUUGACCCCUUUAACCAAAUAACACAACAAAAAAUAGGAAAUCAUAUUUGACAACUAAAAACUAUUUUUUGUUUUCUGUUUAGAAAACAUAGUGUUUUUAGAUAACAUAUUUUAGUUGUUUUUAAUUAUUUUCACUUGUUUUUUAAAGGUUGUUUUAAAAAUAAUAAUUAUACAAACAUGUAGAAUGAUUAAAAAUAAAAUAUGAGAUAUAAAAAUUAUUUUUAAAACAUAUUUAAAAUUAUUAAAACCAUGUUAAAAACAAUUCAGGUUCUCAAACAAACUUUUGUUUUAUAAAACAUUAGAUAAUAGUUUUCAAAAAUUGCUCUAAAAAAAAUGUUUUUCAAACUAUUUUUAAAAAUAGUUGUCAUGUCAAAUAGGGCCUAAACUUCUUUCCUUAAGUACAUUUAUCUAUAUGAAAACUUCUUUAGAUAAGGUAAAAUCAAUUUAGGAGAAUCAAAUUUGUUUUAUAUCCAUAUGAAAAACAAAAUCAAUUUAUGAGAUUUAAAUAUGAGGUCCUUUUGUUUAAUUAAUCAACUGUUCUAAGUUGGGGAAUGGACUAUACAUGGAUCCAUGAAUUAAAUUAUUGUAGAAAAAGUCUCAAAAGAAAAUGUUACUUGGCUUACUAUUUAUAAAUUUGUUUUCAAUUAAUUCAUUUGUACUAAAUAAUUAAGUGUCCAUUUAGAUAUAAUUCUCAUUUUCUAUUUUUUUUUAAAAAUAGAAAUAACUUCUUAUAUAAAAUACAAAAAAUUCUUGAAGUCUUACACAAAAAAAUAGUGGUUUUUAUAAAUUGAGGCAUGAAAAAAAUUUACUAUUUCAAAUUUUAAAUUUUUUUAAAGUAUAAGUUAAGUUCAUACUUUUUGUAUUAGAGUUUCAACUUUUUAUAUAAGAAUUUCUAUUUUUAGAAACAAAAAAACAAAAAAUGUAUUCAAACAAAAUAUAAAUACUUAAAUAUAAAAUGUAUCAAGUACCGGAAUUUAACUUUAACUAAUAAUUAAAAAUGAUGAUAAUAACUUAUGAGCAAAAAACUAUACUUAGUAAAAAGAUUUAAAACUAAUUAAUUUCAAAUUAAUAAAUUGUGAAACAAAGAGCCUAGUAAUUCAUGGGCAAAUUUAACACAUAUUUACUACAAGGCCUAAGUUUGUUCACAUCUUAUUAAAUAAUAAAUUGCCAUCAACUCAAUAACUCCCAAAUAAUGAAACCAUUGAAAUCAUUCAUUUGACCAUGCUUAACCCAUUUUAAAGUUUUUGCCCAACUUGAAGUCAUCUUAAAAACCUUGUCCCAUAGUUUCAUGUGAAUGUUGACUUGGAUAGGUGUUGUCUACUUUUGAAUACCAACAACAACUUAAAUAAUUCCUCAUGCUUGAUCCAUUUUAAAGUCUUUGCUAACUUCAAAUUAUCUUAAAAGGUUUGUCUCAUAGCUUUACAUGCAUUUAUGACUUUGAUAGAAUGCAUGACUUUGAUGUGUGGUACCAAUUGAAAAUACCAAAAACCAUCGAAAUAAUUGCUCAUGCUUAACCCAUUUUAAAGUCUUUGCCCAAUUUGAAAUCAUCUUAAAAAAACUUGUCCCAUAGUUUUCACAUACAUUCAUGACUUUGAUAGGUAGUGUCAACUUUCAAAUAAAACAAAUGACCAAAAUAAUUGCUCUUGCUCCACCCAUUUUAAAGUCUUUCCCUAAUUUGAAAUCAUCUUUAAAAAACUUGUCUCAUAGUUUCACAUGUAUUUUUUACUUUGAUAGGCCAUGCCAACUUUGUGCUUAACCCAUUUUAGAGUCUUUGCCCAACUUGAAAUUAUCUUAAAAAACUCGUUCCAUAGUUCUCACAUGCAUUCAUAAAUUUCAUAGGUAGUGUCAACUUUUGAAACAGAAAAAUGAUUUGACCCAUUUUAAAGUCUUUGCCUAACUUGAAAUCAUCUUGAAAAACUUGUUCCAUAGUUUCACAUGCAUUCAUGACUUUGAUAGGUAGUGUCAACAUUGUGCUUAACCCAUUUUAAAGCCUUUGCCCAGCUUGAAUCAUCUUAAAAAACUCAUCUCAUAGCUUCCCAUGCAUUUAUAACUUUGAUAGGUAGUGUUAACUUCCUGCUUGACCCAUUUUAAAGUCGUUGCCAACUUCAAAUCAUCUUAAAAGACUUGUCUCACAGUUUUACAUGCAUUUAUGACUUUGAUAGAAUUUAUGACUUUGAUAUGUGGUACAAACUCAAAAUGCCAAAAUCUACUAAAAUAAUUGCUCGUACUUGACCCAUUUUAAAGUCUUUGCCCAACUUGAAAUCAUCCUAAAAAACUUGUCCCAUAGUUUUCACAUGCAUUCAUAACUUAGAUAGGUAUUGUCGACUUUCAAAUAACAAAAAUGAUGAAACUAAUUGUUCCUGCUUCACCCAUUCUAAAGUCUUUGCCUAACUUGAAAUCAUCUUUAAAAAACUUGUCUCAUAGUUUUACAUGUAUUUUUUACUUUGAUAGGCCAUGUCAACUUUGUUUUUUUUACCCAUUUUAAAGUUUUUUCCCAACUUGAAAUCAACUUUAAAAACUUGGUCCAUAGUUCUCUCAUGCACUCAUGAAUUUCAUAGGUAGUGUUGACUUCUAAAAUAGAAAAAUGACUUGACCCAUUUUAAAGUCUUUGCCUAACUUGAAAUCAUCUUAAAAAGCUUGGCCCAUAGUUUCACAUGCAUUCAUGACUUUGAUAGGUAGUGUUAACUUUGUGCUUGACCCAUUUUAAUGUCUUUGCCCAACUUGAAAUCAUCAUAAAAAACUUAUACCAUAGCUUCAUAUGCAUUCAUAACUUUGAUAGGUAGUGUUAACUUCCUGUUUGACCCAUUUUAAAGUCUUUUCCAACUUCAAAUCAUCUUAAAAGACGUGUCUCAUAGUUUUACAUGCAUUUAUGACUUUGAUAGAAUGCAUGACUUUGAUAUGUGGUACCAACUAAAAAUACCAAAAACCAUCGAAAUAAUUGUGCGUGAUUGACCCAUUUUAAAGUUUUGGCCAAUUUGAAAUAGUUUUCACAUACAUUCAUGACUUUGAUAGAUAGUGUCUGACUUUCAAAUAACAAGAGUGACCAAAAUAAUUGCUCUUGCUUCACCCAUUUUCAAGUCUUUGCUUAACUUGAAAUCAUUUUUAAAAAACUUGUCUCAUAGUUUCAUAUGUAUUUUUUACUUUGAUAAGCCAUGUCAACUUUGUGCUUAACCCAUUUUAGAGUCUUUGCCCAAUUUGAAAUCAUCUUAAAAAACUUGUUCUAUAGUUCUCACACGCAAUCAUGAAUUUCAUAGGUAGUGUCGACUUUUGAAAUAGAAAAGUGACCCAACCCAUUUUAAAGUCUUUUCCUAACUUGAAAUCAUAUUAAAAAACUUGUCCCAUAGUUUCACAUGCAUUCAUGACUUUGAUAGGUACUGUCAGCUUAGUGCUUAACCCAUUUUAAUGUCUUUUCCCUACUUGAAAUCAUCUUAAAAAAAUUAUCCUAUAGUUUCGCAUGCAUUCAUAACUUUGAUUGGUAGUGUUAACUUCCUGCUUGACCCAUUUUAAAGUCUUUGCCAACUCCAAAUCAUCUUAAAAGACUUGUUUCAUAGUUUUACAUGCAUUUAUGACUUUGAUAUGUGGUUCCGACUCAAAAUGCCAAAAACAAUUGAAAUAAUUGCUCAUACUUGACCCAUUUUAAAGUCUUUGCCCAACUUCAAAUCAUCUAAAAAAACUUGUCUCAUAGUUUUCACAUGCAUUCAUAACUUUGGUAGUGUCAGCUUCUAAAAAAAGAAAAAAAACCAAAAUAAUUGCUCUUGCUUGACCCAUUUUAAAGUCUUUGCCUAGCUUGAAAUCAUCUUAAAAACUCAUCCAAUAGUUUCACAUGUACUUAUGACUUUGAUAGGUAUUGUUUUUAAGUUUGUGCUUGACCCAUUUUAAAGUCUUUUCCUAACUUAAAAUCAUCUUAAAAAACUUGUCCCAUAGUUCUCACAUGUAUUUAUGAAUUUGAUUCACAUGUAUUUAUGAAUUUCAUAAGUAGUGCCGACUUUCGAAUAAGAAAAACAACCAAAAUAAUUGCUUGUGCUUGACCUAUUUUAAAGUCUUCACCUAACUUGAAAUCAUUUUUAAAAAACUUGUCCUAUUGUUUCACAUGCAUUCAUGACUUUGAUAGGUAGUGUCAAUUUCGUGCUUGACCCAUUUUAAAGUUUUUGCUCAACUUGAAAUCAUAUUAAAAAGAAAAAAAACUUGUCCCAUAGUUUUCACAUGCAUCAUGACUUUUUUAGGCAGUGUCGACUUCCAAAUAACAAAAAUGAACAAAAUAGUUGCUCGUGCUUGACCCAUUUUAAAGUCUUUGCCUAACUUGAAAUCAUCUUAACAAACAUAUCCCAUAGUUUCACAUGCAUUUAUGACUUCGAUAGGUAGUAUCAAGUUCUAAAUACCGAAAACAACCAAAAUAAUACUCAUGCUUGACUCAUUUUAAAGUCUUUGCCCAACUUGAAGUCAUCUUUGUUUGAUUGUGAUCUUUGUUUGAUUGUAAAGCCUUUAUCAGUCUUAUAGCACUAUGCAAAGGCUAUUGGGGGGUUGAGCUCAACUUGUUAACAUUUUCUUUUUAUUUCUUGAAGGAUGACUUUUCCCCUAUAGUUGUUAUAUUUAACUCUCUUAUAAUUUAGGAUUUCGUGUGAAAGUUUAGAAGAAAAGGAGAGUAUUCACUAUUGUAACCUUUGUACCUUCUUUUGAUUAGUGGAUUAUUGAGUGUUAGUACACUCUCUAUUAGUGCACUCUGUAGAAGUAGGGAUCAUAUUGAUCAUUGAACCAUACUAAAAUUUCAUUUAUUUUUCUUUAUUACUACUCAUGUGUGUGGUUGCAUUAAGAAUCUUAAAAAAAGCUUGACUCAUAGUUUCACAUGAAUUCAUGACUUUAAUAGGUAGUGUAAUGAUGUCACUUAUCUCCUUGAAUUUCUUUUUGGAAAACAUAUUCUAGAGGUGACAAGAAACUUAUCAAAUUUCAAUCUGACCUCACGUUUAGACAAGGCAAUCACCUAAAGCCCUCACUCCAUAAAAAGCUCCAAAUUUUUGUUAUUAUUACUUUAUUUAUUUUUCUGGUUUUUAUUAGCUAUUUUAAAUAAUUAUUCAUAGUUCUUUAUUUUAAUUAAAUGAUAAAAUAAAAAGAAAAGAAAAAUGAAAUAAAUGUCCAAACUUGUAUAAUUAUCUAGAUAUUUGUUUGCAUUGGGACAUUGGUUCAACUAAACAUUUAUAGUCAUUAGAAUUUAUCAUUUUAAUUGUAUUAUUCUAAAAAGAGAAUCUAUUGAUUUCAUUUUGAAAACCUACAAGUUUUAAUAAGCCCUUUUGUCUUUCUCAAUUCCAUAAAUUUUAUCUCAUGCUAUCUUUUUCACAUAGUAGCAAAAGAAUUUUAAUUGAAAUACACAAAAGAAAUAAACUAUAUGUCCUACAUACAAGUCUAAUAAGAAAAACCUUUAGAGUUGGAUGCCCACUAACUUCCUCUCUAAAGAUGAUUCUACCUUUCUAAUUGGCACACAAGAGUCUUCACUUAAAAAUAUUAAAAUAAAUUGGAUUAACAUAAGAUCUAGUGAAUAGUUGUAAUACACAAGAGUUAUGAUGAACAAAAUAGAUUUAGAACAUGUCAAAAGUCAUAAUAGGAUUUAAGGAAUAUAUGACAUUUAAAAAUAUGUAAUCAUGAUUUUAAACAUAUCUAUGGUCAAUCUACUAGUUAUACAUAAUUAAGCCUUUACUACUUGUGAUAGUACCUCAUCAACACCAUUUUUAGGGUCUCAUUAUCUUGGAUCACACUACCAAGGAACUCAUGUCCUAGCCAUCCAUCAAGGGCACAAUGGAGCAUAAUUUACCACUUCAAACUCUUCCAUAUAGCCCAGUAUCGAAACCCACAAUACCAGUGUAUGAUCCAUCCCAUCCCUUACUACAUAAGUGGUGUAAAGUUUCAUAUCAAAGAAAAAUGAAACACCUCAUUGAUAUAUGUGUUAUGUAUGAUACCUGUUAUAUAUAAAUCUCCAGAACUUUAACAAUUAAUUUAAAAUUUAACAAAGUAUGUAAUUGCAUUAUUGUACACAUAUGCAAGGUAUUAAAUGAUUACUUGAAAAAGAAGUGGUAUUUAUUUUUGCAAACUUAAUAUUAAUCAUAUGUGUUUUGACCAAAUAGAAAUUUCACAUGUCUCAUACUAAUAAUCAAAUUGAACAAGUAAUGUAUAAUGCAUAUAAGAGAGAUUUAUUUUAGGAAAAUUUACUAAAACCAUUUAUAUUUUAACUAUUCACAAAAAUCUUUGUAAUCAAAAUAACAACAGAAUUUGCAGUAUAAUGGCACCUGAAACUAUGGAUCCUCUCCUAAUUAACAAAUGAAUACUUUUAGAUUUGGAAAUUUCAUAAAAGAUGGCUAAGAUCCUAUACCCCUAAUUGUCUUCUUUCACAUGAAUGACACCUAAUAGUCUUCUGUCACCUAGACAACACCUUAGACUAAAAUUGAUGAACUUGAAAAUAAGAAUUUAGGAAAAUGGAGUCCAACUUGUGUAAAACUUGAACCAAUGAGUCUAUCAACGGUAUAUAUACUUUGAGAAUUGAUAACUAAGUCAACUUAGUCUCAGCCUCUAUUAGUUCCAAAUUUGCAUAAAUAGCACAUGCUAAAACACACUUAUUUUCUCGUUUUUUUACCAAAUAAUCCAAGUUCCAUAAAUUAUUAAACUAUCCAUGUUUACUCAAUGACAAGUCUAAAAAUUUAUAAAAAUAAUUUAGAAGUCUAAAACUAACUCAAAUAGUAAUACAAUCCAAAACCCAAAACUUUCUUAGCACAUAAUGUUGAAAAUCUACCAAACUUUACCAAAUCUUUUUCCAUACUAACAAAAUUUGAAUCAAGUUGAAUUGGAUUCUUUAGUUUCUUUUCAAAUAUACUAAAAUUAUUAAAAAUAACUAGAGGUAAAGAUUCUUAAUGAAAACAUUGCAAAAUUGAAACUAUGUUUGAAAACAUUAUUAAGUGAACCCACAAUCUAUUGAACUAACAUAUGGAAAACUUACCAAUUGGUCUUGUUUCAACUUCUUAUUACAAUUUCAAAAAAAAAGAAAAUAAAUAAAUAAAUCCCUAGAUGGGACUGAGGAACAAGCACUGUGGUUUUGUUGACCAUGAAUCAAGACUUCCAUAUAUGCUCACAUAAGCUCCAUUUUAAUCAAAGGUUGCUGCGAAAAUUAGUAACAGUUAGCAGGACCACUCAAGUGAAGCAUCGAUAACCAUAAUUUCUGGGGAUAUAAAGCUGUUCAACAAGAUUAAUGCAUUUGUGAGGCUCAGAAAAAUCAAAAAAAUCAGACGAGAAUCUUUUGGGCGUUACUACAUAAAAGAUGCAGGACCACACAUCCAGUUUUCUUAUCAACCAGUCAUCUUGACAACCCACUUUGAAGCCCACUUGGCCUUGCCAUCACCAUUGAUGAACCUACAUCAUUCAAAUUCUCAAUGCUCUUUAAAAUCAAUAUAUGCUUCAAGUCAAAAGGGAUUGGAAUUUUUGUUAGAUAACAGCCUUUGCUAUUCAGGAACAUAUUUUUCUUUUCUUUUUUUAUUUUUUAUUUUUUAUUUUAUUUUAUUUUAUAGAAUGUUUACCCUCCUUGAAUGUAAAAUCCUCUGUUCUCUGAUCAGAUUUCAGCUUUGUAAUUGGAAUCAAUAGAUCUUGUAUUCAAUUCAAUCCAAGUGUUUUUCUGGCCUCCUAAAUUCUAAACCCUAUCUGGGUUUUCCAUUUUUGUGAAACAUUAAAUCACCGAGUCCGGGAUCCAACACGAUGGGAUUGGAUUCAAUGUUAGAGACAAAAAUUAGUAAAAACAAAUCUUCAAAACCCUCAACAGUUGUGGCCAUAGCUCAAGACCAAGAUGGGAGUUAACAAUUUAAUAAUGCUGAUGAAUGCUUCAUUGACUGCUCUACCAUACUAGACUUUGACUGCUGUCGUUUGUUGAAAGACAUGAAGUUCCUCACAUUCUUGAGUACGAAGAAUCUUGGCCAAAAGUAAUCAACAAAGGAUGAGAAGGCCAGGAUCAUUUCACACUGAACUUUGCUCCGGCUACUUUGGUUAAACAAAUUCAUCCCAGAGAAACCUUGUGAAGAUAGCAGCCUUGUUUUAGCUCUUUGAAUAGAGUGAAAAACAGAACAGAAGUUGAUCAAACCUGGCAUGGGGGCCCCACAUUAAUAAAACCAACUUGUCCAAGCAUCUGGUGACGCAGAGUAUUUGGCAGCCUCAGAGGUAGAGACAGUCAUCGCAUCACAACCAAUUUAUGGGUCGAUUACAAAUUUAGAGACAGAAAAAUAUAUUUUCGUUUUAAUGAAAUCAUUCACCUCAGGAUCGAACUGCAAUUCUUAAUACACAUCAAUGAUUCUGGAUGAUUGAAUUUUAGUGCAUCCCCACCUGCAAAGUUACUGAUACACCUGAAACCUUCUUACUCUACCCAAUAUAAGCUUUUACAGAAAUAAUCAAUUUAUAAUAAAUUUACAUGGAGAAGUGAGGAUCCUCAGCUAGUUUCACCUCCAUGACCAUGACUCAUCAGCUCACCCAAAGUAAUCAUGGAAAACGGUUUUGACAAUGGUGGCCACUGUGCCAACUCAGCCUUGUAAACAGUACCAUAUCCUCCAGUGACAAUACACUGUUUUGAACUGAAAUUGUCAGUCCCCUGUAUGAUGUGUUCAUACAACAAUUCCCCAUCAAGGCCCCAUAUUGCAAAUAGAUCUUCAACAUCUUCUUCGGUCGACUUGAUGUUUCUCUUCCUCAAUUGUUUGAAAAGAAAACAAAUGCCAAUAAAAGCAAAUAAGAUCAACAGAGUUCAAGAUUAUGCAUCUUUCCAAUUUUGUCGGGAAUGCUAUCCGCAAAUCUAUUCUCGCUCAAGCUCAAGGAUGAUAAUUUCCAGAAUCUUCCCAGCUGUUUGGGAAUUGGAAUGCUUAAGUUGUUUGAUGCCAAGUCAAGGGUUUCAAGAUAGGAUAAGUUUCCCAAUUCCAAAGGAAUACUUCCUGAAAGAUCGACUGUUGUUGCCUAGCAACAAUUUGAACAAUAAGGGCAACAUACCCGAUUCUUUUCGGAUCUUCCCACUUAGAUGAUUGGUAGAGAGAUCAAGUUGUUGCAGUCGAAUUACUUUCCCAAGUUGAGGUGGUAUAGCACCAGAAAUAUUAUUGUUGGAGAUGUUCAGGCUUGUGAGCAUGUGGCACUGCCCCCAUUUCUCAGAAAGCUCACCAUAAAAAUUGUUACUGCUUAGAUCAAUAUAAUUUAGGUUCAGGUAUACACCAAAACUUUUAGCCAUGUCUCC